CCUGGAAAAGUAAAGGCUACAUUGAAACCUAAAGGUGGGGUGGCUAAGGAAGGAAACUGUUUUCAUUGUAGUGUGACUGGACAUUGGAAGCGGAACUAGUUGUUGCAUUAACUGUGGGAACAUAUAAUUUAUCUUUGCCUAGUGGACUUGGUUUAUGUUUAGAGGAUUGUUAUUAUGUGCCUAGUUUGACUAAAAACAUUAUUUCAAUUUCUUGUUUAGACAAAAUUGGUUUUGAGAUAAUUAUUAAGAAUAAUUGUUGUUCAUUUUAUCUCAAUAAUGUUUUCUAUGGUUCGAUACAAUUGAUUAGUGGCCUCUAUAUUUUAGAUCAAAUGAAUCCCAUUUACAACAUAAAAACUAAAAUAUCAAAAAUAAAUGACUCAAAUCAAACUUAUCUAUGGCAUUGUCGUUUGGGCCACAUAAGUGAGGAACGCAUAUCCAAGCUCCAUAAAGAUGGUCUCUUAGAUUCAUUUGUUUUUGAUCAAUUUGAAGUAUGUGAAUCUUGCUUAUUGGGAAAAAUGACUAAAUCUCCUUUUACUGGUAAAAGUGAACGAGCUAGUGAUUUAUUGGGCUUAAUAUAUUCUGAUGUAUGUGGGCCAAUAAAUACACAGGCUAGAGGAGAAUUUCACCACUUCAUUACUUUCACUGAUGAUUUUAGUAGAUAUGGGUAUGUCUAUCUCAUGUGUCAUAAGUCUGAGUCCCUUGAAAAGUUCAAGGAAUUCAAAAAUGAAGUACAAAAUCAACUAGGCAAAACUAUCAAGACACUUCGAUCUGAUCGAGGUGGGGAGUAUUUGAACUUAGAGUUUAAUGAUCUUUUGAAGCAAUGUGGGAUUGUCUCACAACAUACUCCUCCUGGUACUCCUCAAUGGAAUGGAGUUUCUGAGAGAAGAAAUCGAACUUUGUUAGACAUGGUUCAAUCCAUGAUGAGUCAUGUUGAUCAGCCGACUUUCUUUUGGGGACAUGCACUUGAGACAGCUACGUUCACACUAAAUCGUGUUCCAUCUAAAUCGGUUCAAAAGACGCCAUAUGAGAUGUGGACUGGGAAAUGUCCUAGUAUGUCUUUUAUGAAAAUUUGGAAUUAUGAAGCUUAUGUUAAACGUCAGACGUCUAAUAAGCUUGAACCCAAAUCUGAAAAGUGUAUUUUUGUGGGGUAUCCGAAAAAACCAAAGGAUAUUAUUUCUUUAAUCCCACUGAGAACAAAAUACUUGUUUCUCGGACUGGUGUCUUCCUAGAGAGAGAAUUUGUUUCUAGAAAAGGAAGUGGGAAAAAGAUUGAACUUGAAGAAAUUUGAGAAUCACAAAAUACCACUGAACCAGAGAUAGAACAACAGCAAGUUCCAUAAGGAAUUGAGGAACAAGUAACUGCUGUAGAAACACAACCACUGCUUAGAUCUUUAAGAGAACGCCAAGCACUUGAGAGAUAUGGAUUUCUCAUUACAACGCAUGGUGACGUUCUACUUGUAAAUCAAGAUAAGCCUAAGACUUAUCAAGAAGCGGUAACGAGCCCAGAAACUCUAAGAAAUGGCUUGAGGCCAUGAGAUCUGAGAUGGAUUCCAUGUAUGAAAACAAAGUAUGGACUUUGGUUGACCCACUUGAAGGGUUUAAACCCAUAGGGUGCAAGUGGGUUUUCAAAAAGAAAACUGACAUGGAUGGUAAUGUACAAACAUACAAGGGGCGAUUAGUCGCUAAAGGUUUUCGCUAAGUUCAUGGUGUUGACUAUGAUAAAACCUUUUCUCCUGUAGCUAUGUUUAAAUCCAUUAGGAUUUUGCUCACUAAAGCUGCAUUUCAUGACUAUGAAAUCUGGCAAAUAGAAGUCAAAACAGCUUUCUUUAACGGGAAACUUGAAGAGGAUGUGUACAUGACACAACCUAAAGGUUUUGUCAAUUCAGAGGAUGCUAGAAAGGUAUGUAAGCUACAAAGAUCCAUUUAUGGAUUAAAGCAAGCUUCUCGAAGUUGGAAUCUUCAUUUUAACGAUACAAUCAAAGAGCUUGGUUUUAUCAAAAAUGAAGAUGAGCCAUGUGUUUACAAGAAAGUUAGUGGGAGCACUAUAACAUUCUUGGUACUGUAUGUGGAUGACAUACUUAUCAUAGGAAAUGACAUACCUACCUUGCAGUCUAUUAAGACUUGGUUAGGAAGUUGUUUUUCUAUGAAGGACUUGGGCGAAGCCACUUACAUCUUAAGAGUGAAGAUCUAUAGAGAUAGAUCAAGACGACUACUAGGUCUAAGCCAAAGUACAUACAUAGAUAAAGUACUGAAAAGGUUCAGUAUGGAAGAAUCUAAGAAAGGAUUCCUACCUAUGAGACAUGGUAUUUCACACUCGAAGGAAAUGUGUCCUUUAACUUCACAAGAGAGAGAACGCAUGAGUAAAAUUCCAUAUGCUUCCGCUAUUGGAUCUAUCAUGUUUGCCAUGUUAUGUACCCAACCAGAUGUCUUAUAUGCCUUAAGUAUGACGAGCAGGUACUAAGUAGAUCCCGGUGAUGGUCACUGGACCACAGUCAAGAAUAUCCUUAAGUACUUAAGAAGAACUAAGGAUACGUUCCUAAUAUAUGGAGGUGAGGAAGAGUUAAGUGUAAAAGGUUGCACUUAUGCCAGCUUCCAAAUCGACAAGGAUAAUUCUCGAUCAUAAUCAGGUUUUGUGUUUUGCCUUAAUGGUGGUGCUGUGAGCUGGAAGAGUUCAAAACAAAGUACAAUAGCCGAUUCUACAACAAAGGCCGAGUAUAUUGUAGCCAGUGAGGCAACAAAGGUAGCGGUUUGGAUCAAGAAGUUCAUUGCUGAACUAGGGGUUGUGCCUAGCAUAUCAGAUGCUAUAGAACUCCGAUGUGAUAACAAUGGAGCCAUUGCACAAGCUAAAGAACCUAGAUCUCACCAGCGAUCUAAACAUAUACUUAGGCGCUACCAUCUUAUUCGAGAGAUUAUCGAUCGAGGGGAUGUAGAGAUAUGCAGAGUACCUACAAAUGAUAACAUGAAUAUGUGUGUUAGAGAACAACAUAUUGGACUGACCCAUUAUGAGUAUUUUUCUUGGAUUAUUAUGUAAUUGUCACAACAUUACUCAUAGUGAUUAAUAUGUAUAUGAUCCUCAGACUUGAGAUCAUCAUAAUCCCAACAUCGUGAGUUGUAUAUUUUGAUACAGUCAAACGUACACCGUAACUGGUUGUUCUAUAAAGGCUGAUGUUGGAUAUACCACGAUCUAUGUAGAGGGAUAUGGUUGAUCGAUAUAGGAUAUGUCCCUUCUACAUAAUGGAAGUAAUAUCUUAGGCCACUCGAUUGAGUGAGACUAGAAAUGCAUAGCCAUGCUCAAAUAACCUGAUAUGAGAUGUCAUACUUAUGUGUAUAUCAUAGUCUACUUAAGAUAUCAAGGAACAUGGAAUGGACUAUGCAAGUGUGACUAUUCCAUGACUUGUGUGCAGUCCAGAUGUAAAAGACUUAAGGAUUAUUGCAUAAAAGGUUAAUCAUAAAAAGUUUUUGUCGAAUCAUGAUUUGUUGUGACUUAGGUAGCAAUGAUGCAUUGCUAGGAGCCACUCAUUGUUUGUAACAUUGGAAUCGUUCUAGUAUUACUGCAAACGUUACAAGAACUUACAGGGUCACACCCUAUAGUUGAAAUAAACAGAAUAAAACAUAGUUGGUAUUGUGUUUGGUUGUCGCUUGAAUUAAAUUAAUUAUAGAAUUAAUUUAGUAGGAUAAUCAAAUAUCGAACACAUUAUGUACAAAGUUGUUAUACGCAUAAUAAGAACAUGAAUUUGGUUAGUAUAUAAAUUCAAAGAAAUAUAUAGUUUACCGAAAUCAUUAUUAUAAUUAAUGUAAUUAUAAUUUUUGGUUUAAAACAUUGUUAUAUUUAUUUAAUUUCUAGAAACCCUAAAUAUAGAUAUAAAAAUCUCGUUUUUUCUUUGCUUGGGGUCUAGCAGUCGUCAAAGUAAAGUCUUUUCCAAAACAGUUUUGGGGAUUCCUUCCUUUCAUUGUCAACUGGAUGGAUUACGUAGAGGCUAGAAUCACGAUAGAUUGCGGCUUGGUUCGAUAGUAGAUCAGAUUACUCGUUGCUGAGGCGUUGUUGUCUACUUAGAAUAAAGAUUUGGUAAUUUCAAAACCUUUAUUUCUCCCCGAUUCGUUCCUCACACAUGGAUCCAUGGUUAGGAUCGCUGAAUGUUUUAAUUUUCUGCUGCGCCGUAGGGGUGCCGACGUUCCACCAAAACCCUGGAGGUGUAUCUAACUUUAUAUUAGAUUAUGAUAUAUAUAUACAAUUAGUAUGGGUUAAGUAAUUAAAUUAUUUUGUAUUGUUAUGUGUUAGAUCCUAAACUACCAAGAAGGGGUGAAUUGGUAUUUUAAAAAUUUCUACAAACUUUUCUAAAUGUUAAAGAAUGAAAGAAAAGCUUGGACAAUUCGAUUUAUAGUGGUUCGACCCCAAAUGUCUACCUCCAUUACCUUAGCUUGCCAAAACUGAGGAUUUCUCAAAUUCAGUAUAUUUGAACCUUUCAAGGACAAUGUUUAACCUUUACAAAACACUAUCGUUUCACUAGGAAAGAUAGAGCCACUUCCCUUAAGGUUUUUUAACCCAAAGCCUUAAAUAACCCCUUACAAAGAUAAGAAAUAAGAACAAGAAUAAAAGACAGAUCCCAAGGGAAGAUAUUAUAAGGAUAAAUCUCACUCAAUAACAAUACAACACUUAAGAAGAAUAAGAAAGAUGGUUAUUCAAGUGUGUGUAUGAAGAACAAAAAGAAUAUGAGAAACGACUGGAUUUUUGUACAAUUAGCUUUACAAACAUUUUUUCUUGUCUUAAAUGUGGAGCUAUUGACUUGUAUUUAUGCCUUCUAACAACCACUGGAAUGUUGGAGACUGUUAUAGUUGUGUGACCCAAAUUCCUGUUAAAGAAAUAAAAUAUAAUGGCAAAAUAGGAGGAUUUGUGGCGGUGAAUGCUAUAGUUAUUGUAGAUCCUCAUUAGCCAUAAAACUAGAUUGGGGUCGUAACUGGGGGUACGGUAGUUAAAGGCCCCCGCGGCACGGUACAGGCUGUACAAGUAGAAUCCAUAUAGAAGUACAAUUCUUCUGUUUGACAUUAAUUAGAAUAAGGUUUUUCAACCACAUAAAAUCUGUGUGUUCUUAUUUUUUCUUUUUUAUUGCUUUUGCGAUCGUUCUAUAUAGCCAUUAUCGACGUUUUAUUUUUACAAACUAGUAUAAGAGCUUUUCAAGUUGUUUGUCCCAAUCACGAUAAUGGUGACAAUGAAGUAUGAUAUUCUACUGUUGGAUCGUAACACCAUAUUCACGUUGUAGUAGGUAAAGAUGCAAACAUUUAUUGUGCAGAUGGAUUUAGAGGAUGCCCUACUAGGGUUAGAUAAGAUGCCUUCGACUUUGAUGGAUGAAAAAAAUAAGCGUAAAGAUCGAAAGGCUUUAACACAAUUAUAAUUACAUCUGUCGAAUGAAAUUCUACAGGAUAUAUUGAAGGAGAAGAUCGUCGCUGCAUUAUGGAAGAAGCUGGAGCAACUAUGCAUGCCGAAAACCCUAACUAGCAGGCUGCAUAUGAAGAAACAUCUUUAAGCUUAUCGUUUGGAGGGAGGUGCAUCUGUGCACGAAAAUUUAACUGUGUUUAAAGAUAUUCUCUCGGUCCUAGAGGCCAUGGAGGUUCAAUAUGAUAAAGAAGAUUUGAGAUUGAUUUUACUUUGUUUGUUGCACAUGUCUUAUUCAACCUUUAGAGAUACGAUUUUGUAUAGCCGUAAAUAGCUCACUGUUGAUGAAUUUCAUAGUUCUCUAACCUUGUAUGACAAGAUGAAGCAUCUUUUGGUUGGAUUCGAAUCUUAGGGAGAGGGUCUCAUUAUUCGUGGAAGACAAGAAUGAAAUACUGAUGAUCAUCGUGAGAGGAUACAUAAAUGAAAUCCUUGAAAUAAAUUUAAAGGUAGAUUAAGAUCUUCAAACAAAGGUAAAACCUUUAACUAAAUUAUAAAAAAGUUAAAAUAUUAGGGGGAAAAUGGCAAUUUUGCAUAAAUAUGAAAUGUGGAUUAAAUUGAAUACCAGAAGUAUUAAAUUGAUUAAAAUUAUUUAUUUAGAUCAAGAUAAACCAUGUACGGACCUAGAUCAAGGUAAAACAAAAGCUUCGGAUUAGUUCGACCUAAUUUCUAUGCCCUAGUCAUCGAGGUAAGUUCGUAUGAACGGUUAUCGUAUUAAUGUUAUUUAAAUUGUAUGUUAUUAUGUUAAUUAUAAUAUUAAUGGAUCGAUGUAUAAACAAGUUAAUGCUAUGAUGAUUAUCAAGUCCCGGUUGAACCUUAGGAAUUCUUAGGAUACAAAUGACAUGUCAUUAGGGAUUUUCUGUUUUAGAUGCUGGUCUUGAAUGUCCUAUCGAUGUCUGAGGUCCUGCAUUUGUUGAGGAUAUGCCACAUCUCGUGUGAGCAGCAUCGUGCAGCUUACAUUCUAACCCACAACUCGUGUGAGCAAACCCAUUUCACAGUUCGUGUGAGCAAUAAAGUAAAGGAAAUGUUACGGUUAUAUGUAAAGGCACACUUUGUGCAAGCUUUCUCGAGUAUCCGAGCUAAUUCUAAAUGGUUCAACUGGAAAAAAAAGGGAACGUAAUGGUAAGUAUUCAAAUGGAAUUAAGCAUAAUCUUAUAGAAAGAAUUUAUGAAAUAAAUGAUAUGUUUCAUAUGGAAAAUGAUUUGUCUUAUGGUUAGUUCAUUUGAAUUAUGUAAAAGUGUGCUAACUUGUGUACUGACGGUGAUAUAUAGGCUUAUAUCAAGCAUAUGGUUUGGAUUAUACUAUAUUUAUGCUUUACAUUAUGCAAAUGAAAUGGUAAGUUAUGUUUGUUUAUACGAGCUUACUAAGCAUUGUUGCUUACGUAGUUUAUUUCCUAUGUUUUAUAGAUUAUCGAAAGCUUGAUCGGUUUAGAAGUUUGUUGGAGAUCUAUCUUACUAUCCAGAAGUCUUUUCGGCAGUUUUUUAACAUUUUGGCCAAUGGUUUAUAAUGGCAUGCAUAGGAUGAAUUGUAAUGGUAUUUUGAUGAUUGUUUAGUGGGUGUUUUGGCAUGUAGAAGUUUUGGAAGUUAACAUGGUUGAUACCAUUUGAUGCCUUGUCAAAUUGUGUCAUUUUGGUUAUCUUAACAGGCAUGUUUGUAUGGAUCUUUAUGAUAAAUUUGGAAUGGUAUAAUAACGGUCAAAUUUGUGGCAUGUUUUGGUAAGUUUUGAAAUAGGAUGCGAUGCUUGAAAUGUGGUAGCAUUAACAUGUUUAGGUAGGUGCUAUUUGUAUGCAUUUGUGGUACCUUUGAAUGAUAUAUUGGUUAGUUGAAUUAAGGUCUUGAAAUGACAUUUUGAAGUGUGUUUUGGUGAUGUUUGAGUCUCUAUAAAGUGUGCUUAAAUGGGUUGAAUGAUUGUGCAUGAAAUGGUCUUGGAAAUAGCUUGAUUUUAGGUAAAUUUGGGUCUACACGGCCUGAGACACGGACGUGUAACUCAUCCGUGUGAGACACACGGCCUGGCGACACGACCGUGUGUCAUCUGAUGAUUUCUUUAGGUUGUAAGUCAAUAAGUUACAUGGCAUGGCACACGGGCGUGUGGGGCAACUCAGAGAUUUACACGGCCUGGCACACAGGCGUGUGACAUGGCCGUGUAACCCUACUCAGAAAGCUACACGGGUGAGGACAUGGGCUGGGACACGGUCGUGUGUCCCUAGUUCCAAGGUUACACGGGCUUGUGUCUAAGCCGUGUGACCCCUGUUUCCAAAUUUUUGUGACUUUUCCUAAACUUUCCUAAUUGUUUCAAAUUGGUCCUAAAUUGCUUCUAAGUUAUAUUUAAAACCUCGAUGGCUCGAUUUAGGGACAAUAUGCAUGUUUAUGAUUGGCUUACGUUAUGAUUAAAUUAUUGGAUGAUUUAAAGUUUAAAUAUUUUCGAUUGAACGGUAAUACUCCGUCACCCUAAUUCGACGACGAAGACGGGUUAGGGGUGCUACAGAUUCCAUGCAUCAAUUAUUAAUUAAUAACUCUGGUUAUCACAAGUAUAAAGAAUUUAUGCACGUAAUUAAACUCCCUGAGUUUCAUAUGAUUUUUUGCAAUUUGACUGGCGCGGGAACAUUUGUAUGUUCUUCCUAAACAAAUCAUUAGCGGAUAUAUCUAUGGAGGAUCGCUCUAAAUUGUAUGGGUCCCGACGACUCUUACAAGAGAUGUAAACUUCAUCUCAGAUUCAGAGUCUUUUUCACUUGAUAAUCUUAUUGGAUAUCUCGACUCUUGAGCUAACAUACGUAUCAUUGGUUGACUCUGGCAGACUAGUAGACACUUCGUCAUUGUGGCAGAUUCUUACCCAUUACUCAUCAUUUUCUAAAAAUUCCUGGUAAACACCCAGUAUUGUUCGGACUGCUUCGUGCUGCUUCGUGUAUAUAAUGUAGCUAACUCAGAUACCUGUCCAGAAGGAAACCCUCACGUACUUAACCUCAACAGGAGGCUUCUAAAUCAAUUGUUUGGAGUGGACUAAAAAUUUCCAUGAUGUCGCUCCGUAGAGCCAGUAGACCAUUUAUCCAACCAAACCUCCUCAAAUCCUCCUUGUUAAUUCAAACACCUAAGUGUUCACCUGCAAGGCCGAGCCAUUUCAUAUUUCAGUGACUCCAGUUCUCAUUCCAUCCAUUCAUUCUUCUAUUACACCAAUUUUCCUAUCUUCAACUAACCCAUCAAAUAAUUCCCUCGGUACCCUGCUUUUUAUAAUCAUGCAUACCACGCACAUCAUUACAACAAAUACUAUUUAUUCAUAUUAUAUUAUGGAGUACGCCACAUACAAAUUCAUCUAUACACAACCCUAUCAUGAAAUCAAAGAACCUAUUACAAACAUUCAUGCAAUUGCACAUCUUUAUGCAUGUAUAAUUUUCCUAGUCAACCACAAUAAUAUACAACCAUAGACUUAGACCAAACUUAGUACAGAACAUGCAAACAACACAGCAACCAGCAAACACCAAAAGGUGGAGUAUAGAAAAUCACCUGCUGUCCUUCCUCCCUACCAACUUAGCUUUUCCAACAACCAAAGUCUCCUCCAUCCUGGUUAGCUAAGCAUGACAACCAAAUAUAUCAGUUAAAUAGAAGACAUUCAUGCUUUAAAAUCUUGAAUCCAAAAACUUGUAGAAACCUUUUAAAUUUUACAGAAACCCUCAACUUUUUUUUUCAAAUCCACGAGCACAAAAAGAUUAAGAAGCAUACCAGUUCAUCAGAGUCUCAUCUAUUCAAACUCAAUCCUCACAUUCAUCGCUACAUGCAGAGCUUUCCUCAACUAUCUCUUCUUCGGAGGAAUUAAAGAAAAUGAUGCAAAAGAGAAGAAAAUGCAACAAAAUUAAGGAAAAUUCACACGGGAAUAACACAUCUCAGCUAUAUAUAUAACCUUCAUGCACGACCACCGAAGGCCCUACCAAAACUAGCGGCCGAAAAUCAUUAUGCUCCCAUUAAGGAACUUACCAAUUCCAACAUAACCAAACCAGAUUUAGAAUACAACUAAUUUCGAUCCUAUCCUUGCAUUCUUCAAAUUUUACCGUAGAUUCCAUAGAACCUACAAUUUCUUUCAAUUAACUCUCAAUUCUUCUUAAAUUCCCGACCUUAGUAGAAACCGAGUUUGACACCAACAUUACCAAUCAAGUAUGUUAGUCAUGUUUACAUAUCAUGAGUAAUAUCACUAACAUUGAGGAAAUCAAAUGUCAUAUGUCAAGGUAUAAACUUAUACUAUUUCAUUUCCAAGUUUUCUGUUUCAAUUUAAUUGAAUAUUGUCCGAUAGAACUAUAGUAAAACAAACUCGGAUAAAUAGGUGAUUAAGUUGCUCACACAAGCUGACUUAUAUUAGGUUACCUGUCCAGGCUAAACCUAAAUCACAUAUAACCAAAGAGUCUACAAAAAAUGCUAGACCUCGUUAUAACAUAUCUCAUCCUUGAUCAAACACAUGUAUAACCCUAUUGGCAUGCCAAACGUAUCAUAACCUUUUACUAAGUUCACAUGGGCAUCAUUUCUAUAUAUAUGUCAUUAUCGAUCCCUGUACAUGAUCACAUAGUUCAUUUACGUAUCCUGUAAUCAAUCAACUUUCACAUUUGUACCCUGUACUAUUACAUAAUAGCCAAUAAUCACAUGACAUUUCAAUUUAGUCCAUAAUUAGCCAUACAUGACAAAUUCACUAGAAAUCUGAUUAUAUCAAAACAUAUGUAUAUAUGAAAUCAAACACAAAUCACACACAACAUAAAAUCAGCUAAUAUUUCCAUAUGAACUUACCUAUUAGUAACACCAAAACAAGUUGAUUCUUCAAGGACUAAUCAACAAUUUUAGCUUUUCCCCAAUUAACUCCACUUCAAUCCAAUUCUUGAUCUAAAAAAAUAUUUCAUAUCACCAAUCAAUAUCAAAAAAUUUUAUACUAUACCAUGAUAUUUAUGAUUUCAUAUAAUUCUAUUUUUCGAUUCCCAUCAUAUUUAUAUUUUCUUCAAUUUAGUCCCUAAACUCGGAAUAAGCAUAACUUUUGAUUCCUAGCUUCAGGUUAAAAUCUGAUUUCAUAUAUUCUCAUUAGAAACUUUAUACUAUCUAUUUCUAACAUAAUUUUAUGAUAAUUUUUACAUUUAUUCAAUUUGGUCCCUAAUGUAACAAAGUUAACAAUAAGCUAAAUUAAUUUUACAAUCUAGUCUUUUCUCAUAUUCUAAGCUUAAAACCUAUCAAUUAUAAGCCUAAUUCUUCAUGAAAUCAACAAUGGUAACUUCCUAAAAUUUUAACCGUUUUACAAAUUGGUACAUAGGCUACCUAAAUUAAGCUCUCAUGACCUCAAAUCUAUAAAAAUUACAAGAAAAUGACUUGAAAUCACUUGCCAAUUAAUGGUCGAAUGUAAUAGCUUCAAAAUGGUUUUCUUCCUUCGGUUUUUCUAGGUUUGUGCGGUUAGGAGAAAUGGAGAAGAUGAAUAAAUUCCACUAUCAUUUGUACUAUAUUACUUAAGUAACCAUUCAUUACUUAAUUAUUUUAAUCAUACUUUCAUUAACAUAACUUAUCAUUUAACCACAUAUAAUGGAUUAUACCAUCAUCAUCCACUAACUCCUUAGAAAUGGAUUUAUUAUCAUUUUGGACCUUUAUCUAAUUGUUGUUUUAAUCCUCAAGCCUUGUGUCAAUUAAAAAUCUAUAGUUAUAGGAAUUUUACAAAUCAGUCCCUGAGUCUUAAUCAACUAUUAAUUCGGCAAAAUUAUUGUAUCAAUCAGUAAUAUAUUUUAUAUUAUCUCUGUAAAUAUUCAUAUUUAAUAUUUAUGGACUUGGUUUACGAAAAUAGGGUUCUAAAAUCGCAUUUUUCGAUAUCACUAAAAAUUGAGUUGUUACAAUUAAAGGUUAUGCCAAUUGAGCUGAAGUUGUCACACCAUAGAGUAGAAAUGCCAGGUAAUUGAACUCCAACUUCACGUGAUAGAGGCAUAAACCAAACCAUAUUGGAAGUGGAAUCUACAAGUGUCAUGAGUCAAGACUUUAGCUUCAAUCUUGUGUGGCGUUAGGCUCAGUUCCUAUCACAACCAGCCUAAUUUAGUCUUCGAUCUUUCCUUGGAGAGGCUAAGCCAAGAAAACUACACGAGCAUAUAAGAAAGAGUGAGAGAGGCUUUAAGAGAAUUUGGAAGUAUAUUACUUAAAAGCUAGCUUGUAUACAAAUGAGAGAGGGUAGCCUUCACUUAUAGAGGGAAGCCCUUUUUUAUCUAAUAGUUACAAGGCAAGCCCUUUUUCUUAUCCAAUAGUCACAAUUAAUCUAAUGGACAAACAUAUUAUUAAAUGCUAAGUAUAAAUAGUUAUAAAGAUUCCAAAAUCUUAAUCAUGAGAAAGUGAAUUAAAGAAACAACGUCAUUAUAUUUUAGAAGAAUUAUUUCUUAAAGGCUGAAUUAAAAUACUUUAAAAUUUGGGAGCUAAUUUAAAAUACGGGGACAUCGGAUUGAUGUAGCCUUAAAAGAUACUGUCCAGAUAGGGCAAAUAAAAAAGGUAAAGGAGUGGGCAGAGGAUUUUAGGGAAGGUUCCGUUGGUAGGUAUCAGCUUCUGCAAGACGAAGAGACGGGAAAUGGGAUAAGGAUUCCAUUGGAAAGUGAUUUGCUCAUCUUUUAUCUUUGCUUAAUUCUUUCUUCCCCCAACAACUUUAAUUUUCCAGCCAAAGGUGAAAUUCUCUUCCCAUUUUUCUCUCUCUCUCUCUCUCUCACACACACACACACACAAGCAAUUAUGGAAAAUAUAGAAAAUGAAGGAAAGUUUCAGGAUAUCUUAGUUGAAGUUGUUUAUAUCAUAAAGCAACAAGAAAUUUCAAAAUAUAUUUUAAAAAUAUUACAAAUUCAUGAUGCAGUUAUAUAUAUGUUUAAAUCCAAAAGAAUUAAGGCAAAGUUCAUCUAAUAACAUGAUACUGCAUCCCACAACAUUAACCACCAAGUAGAUGAAUGGCUAAGUCUUAAAGGGACCCUCCGAUACCAUAUACCAAAACAUCUCUAUUGUUGGUGAUAAUUCUAAAACAGAAACUCCAAACGGCAGCAGCAUGUAGUACUAGUGUCAGCUGGUUUGAUUAAGAUUUUUCACCAUUCCAAACCUCAUCUUAAAAACAUUAGCCGCACCAUCACUAUAGGAAGCAGGCGCCAACAUAAGUUGGGAUCAGCUAAAAUGCCAAGCUGCAAAAACAGAACUUAUGGCUCAGUCACUGAUUCAUGCACUUUGCCUGCACCCUCCUCUCCUUGAGGUAGCUCAGAAAUUCCGACUGUUUGUAACGGUUCUAUAGAAUUAUUUUCAGGCACUGAAUUGCCUUGUGCACCAGGUGAAUCAAAUGCCUGCUUUGCAACAUCCUUCUGCUCUAAGUUCUGUUUGUUGGAAGGAGGAGGAGAAUCAAAUGCUCGCUUCGCAACAUCCUUCUGUUGCAAGUUAUGUUCGUUGGAAGCAGGAGGAGAAUCAAAUGCCCGCUUUGCAACAUCCUUCCGCUCAUAGCUGUGACUACGGCUUCGACUGCGGCGGCCAUGGCUAUGGCUUCGGCUCCGCCCUCGACCAGGACUACGGCUGUAGCUGCGGCUACGACCACGUGACCAGCUCCUGCUUCUGCUUCGACUCCUACUACUCCUACUCCAACUCCGACUCCCACUGCGGCUACGGCUACGGCUACGGCGCCAAGUUCGAACCAUGUCAGGACUUCGGCUAUAGCUUCUGCCUCUACUUCUAUCACCAAUGCCUCUUCUGUUAUCAAAUCGUCCCCGUCCUCGUCCACGACCACGUCCUCGCCCGUCAAAACUAUUAUACUGAUCAUGCAAGCUUCUCUCAUUCCUGCCCCAACCAACAUGACCACCAGCAGGGCCACCAAAUCCACGUCCUCCUCGGUUUCCACGUCCAGAAAAUGGGUCACCUCUCCCUCCAGGACCACCGAAGCCACUAUCCCUCAUACCACCACGACUGCCAAAACCAUCUCUCAUGCCACCACGCCCACCAAAGCCCCCAUCCCUCAUUCCACCACGGCCUCCAGAAUCCCAACGCCCACCACUACCACUAGGAGAAUUAAAUCUAUUCAUUCCACCUCGAUCCUUCCCAAAACAAGGCCCACCACGAGAAGCUAUCUCUCGCACCUCAGGAGGCACAUGCUGGUUAGCUCUCUCCAGAACUUGAAUCAAGUCAGGGGCAUACUUCCAGUCCUGCUCAGAGAAAAAGGUGAACGACACCCCAGUUGCACCAGCUCUUCCAGUCCUUCCAAUUCGGUGAACAUAGUCCUCAAUGCCGGUAGGGAAAUCAAAAUUGAUAACCACCCUGUAGCAAGGAAAUGCUAAGAACAAAAUAUUUUCAUUUACUGAAUAAACAGUUGCAACUACAGAAAUUAAGAGCAAACUAACCUUAUAUCUUUGAUGUCAAGCCCACGAGCAGCAACAUCAGUGGCAACCAAUAUGGGGGAUUUCCCAGUUCGGAACUGACUCAACACCCAGUCCCUUUCAUUUUGAGAUUUAUCUCCAUGGAAAGCAACAGCUCCAAAGUUGCGUCCAAGACUACGAGCAAGCUGGUCACACAACCUCUUAGUGGAGCAAAAAAUAAUAACCUUUGAACCGCGCUCUUGAGCUUGGAGAAUCUGCUCCAGGCGCCUCUCCUUCUCCAUCUGGGGAACAACCUCAACAUACUGCCAAAUCAUGAAAAAGUUUGUAAGCUAAUGGGGAAGGUAUUUGUAAUCUAAAAAAGCAAUGGAAUAUUGAACUUCUGGAAAUACAUAUCCAGGAAUAACUGAAAAAGGUGCCAUGGUUUCCAAGGAUCUCAGAUCAAGAAUUUUUUAAGACUUCCAAUAAGAAUUGACAGAAUAAUUAGUUAGCACAUAUCUCAAAAGGAAAAAUCAGGAUGCAAAUCUUAAAUCAAAAUGAAAGAGCAUUUCACAUGGCAAUUUCCUGCAUACAACAUUCAAUAUUUUGAUGGUUACCCAUCAACCGAAUUCCAAUAAAACCAUCUAGGCUUUAGAGAAUACCUGGGUGAUAGACUUAUUGGCAGCAAGCUCAUCAACACUGCCAAUGUUCACCUGGACAGGAUUGACAAGGAGGUCACCUGCUAUUUUUCUAACCUCCUUGGGCCAUGUUGCAGUGUACAUCAGAGUUUGUCUGCGAGGAGGUAUCUCAUUAACAAUCUUGCGAAUCUGGGGCUCAAAACCCAUGUCAAGCAUUCGAUCUGCUUCAUCAAGAACAAGGAGUGACACCUGUCCAAACUCAAUUUUCUUCAUUUCAAGGAUGUCAUUUAGCCGACCAGGAGUUGCCACUACAAUAUCAGCUCCUCGAUCUAACUCUUUCAAUUGAUUAGCCUUUGGAGCCCCACCAUACAAACACUGAAGAAAUUUGAGAGAACCGGAAAACCAAAUUCAGUUGAAAGGAAAAAGUUAGCUCAGUUUUGUCUGCAUGUUUGUAUGAGCAAGAUGUUACUAUAAUCUUUUCUUUAAAAAAUAAAUGAGCAGUCAAGCCCCACCGUGCAAGAGACUCUUGAAGAUCGGCCAAAUUUUAUGGCCUCUUCCUGUAUUUGUGUAGCAAGCUCGCGAGUUGGAGCCAAAACCAACACUGUUGGGCCAUUCAGAGGGUUGUUAUGCCGUUGCCUCAAAAGCAUGAAAGUGGGAAUCAAGUAGCCCAAUGUUUUACCAGAACCAGUUUUAGCAAUAGCCACAAUGUCCCGACUUUGUAGUGCAAUGGGCCAUGUUUGUGCUUGUAUUGGAGUGGGAGAGGAAAAACCAGCAGAAUGAAUCUGAAAGGAAGCAUAAAUCAUAAAUAGUGAGUAUUAACUGAAUUUGCAAUGGAUCUUAUAUGUUCUUAGGGAAAAAAAGCAAAAACACACAUUUCGGUUAUCAUGCAGUUUAACUCAAAAUCCAUAAGUAUAUGUUGCUUACUGAAGCAACUUGAGGCAACAAAAGAGGGCAAUAUAGAAUUAAGAGGCGGAGCCAUUAAGCAAGGUCCCAGUCACAUCCAAGUGUGAUUUGGAUUAAGGGCCAACCACACUUCUAGAAGAUGCACAAGAAAGGCUCCAACUAUCCAUUUUGCAUCCUCCAAAAAUGAGAAUUUUGUUGCAUUUGUAAGUGUACCAAUUGCAGUGCAGCGUACGACAUUUGCUCCUCCUCCGGAGCAGAUAUCGCACCUGCGACAAGCGAAAAGAAUAAGUUUAAAUUAAAUUUAAAAAAGAAAAGCAAUAAAAAGCACAAAUGGUACAAGCAGCAUACAUAUUUCAUUUCCAUACCAAGGCUUAGGGAUCAUAACAUCUGUAGAACUUACCUCUCUCAGUAUCUCUGGAGGGAAACCAGUAUCUUCAAAUCUUAUGAAUGGUGCUGGAACGUUGUCUCCCUAUGCAAUUUAAUAAACAAUCAAAGUCAUGAAUAAUCUUGAAUUGGCAAAAUGAAUCAUUUCUUCACCAUUAAAACAAAGACAGCUCUUCAAAUAUUGUAAUGGAAGAACAAUUAAGUGAGAAUUAAAAAGAACAAGGCACAAAGCAAGAGAUUUUCAAAAAAUGAUAUUUAUCCAACCCCCUUCCCCUUAUGAAUGGUGCUGAAACGUUGUCUCCCUAUGCAAUUUAAUAAAAGUCAAAGUCAUGAAUAAUCUUAAAUUGGCAAAAUGAACAUUUCUUCACCAUUAAAACAAAAACAACUCUUCAAAUAUUGUAAUGGAAGAACAAUUAAGUGAGAAUUAAAAAGAACAAGGCGCAAAGCAAGAGAUUUUCAAAAAAUGAUAUUUAUCCAACCCCCUUCCCCUUCAGCAGUUUCCCAAAAUUAAGCUAUAGCUCUUACAAAGAAAUUAGCCUCAAAAUUUUAAUAUCUUAGGUAUUGGUAAUUUAUUCUAUACUAGUCACACAUUUUCACAAUUCACUAAUCACACAUAAGUUAACAAGAACAGAUGUAAUACAGACCGUUGCUGUGACUUCAUGCUGCUUACGAUAUGCAUCAGCUGGAGACAGAUGAUUAGCAUCUGCAGAUGCAACAAAUGGAGGCCUGAUCAAGGCAUUAUUGGGAUAAGGUGGACCAGCAUGACCAUACAUGUUAUGCACCGCAUGACCUCCAAUAGCAUUAAAUCCCCCACCAUGACCAAGCACAUUUUGAUGUGGCAGACCACUCAUCCUUGUCUCCUGACAGCAGAAGCAGUAUUAUGAGGAAAUUGCAUUAACAUAUGAAUUAUGAAAUGGUAUCUAUUACCAAUUUAGUCGUAUGAAGAAAAGAAAAACACCUUCUCAUACAAUAAAUGAAUAAAAAUACUUAAUUUCCCAACAAAUCAUUUUAAAAACUGGAAGAAAAGAACAGGUUAUAUAAUGAAUGCUCUAUCUUGCACUAGGUGCAAAUGAGUUGCAUUUAUGAACUAACAUAAGAAAUAAGAAAGAAAUCAAGAACUACAAAUCUCUAUGUCCUAUUUGCCAGAGACACCAAAAUGACUACCCAUCAUUUCCAAACAACUCUCCAAGAAAUGAUGAAAAUUUUACAUGGCAGCAGAGUAGGUAUAUUUCACAAGGAUCCUAAAUUCAGUUGAUGUGUGAAAAGGACAGUUAAUUCCAUGCUUUUGAUUUCCAGAAGUAAAAUGAAACUGCAUUUAUACAGGUAUCUGGAAAAUAAGUAACAGUUGGCAUUUGCACAAACCAACAGAGGAGAGAUUUUCAAAAUUAGCACCAAUAUAACCACAUUAUAAUGCCAACAUAUAAAUGAAUAACCUGAAAACAAAAACAUUAGUUGAUAUCUCACCAUGGGUAUAGCAGAAAGAGAUGGCUGCUGUGGACCCAUCAUUUGCCCAUCUUUGCUACCACUAAAGUAGUAAUCAUUUCCAGAUCUGCCGUGUAGUUUAUCUUCAUAACCAGUAUUUAAACCAGGAGGAGGCAUACUAGACUGUAUAACGGAUGGGCCCAUCUGAUUCUGAAACCUAUGACCCUGCUGCCGCUGAACCAGAUCUGUUCCAGUUUGCUGUGAAUGAGUCAUAGAGGUUGGCUGUUGCAUAUUGACAGAGGAGCCUGUAAACUGCUGUUGUUGACCUGAAUAUAAACCUGCCGGUGGAGUCUGAACUGAAUUAGUUCCAGCAGAGUGGUUCUGAGAAGAUGUGCCCAUCUGUUGAAAUUGAGCAGGAGAAAACCCAGUUUGGUUCCCUAGCUGAAAAUCAACAUCCUCCUUUUUCGGAACUGCUGCUUUAUAAUCUUCUCGAUUUGGAUACUGCUGACCCUGGUGUUGUGCACCAUGAGGAGUGAGCUGCUGAGAACUUUGUUGGCCCUGUGGAAGCACACUUUGUUGAUAUGCCAUAUACUGCAAAUGCUGAUGUGCAUAUUGUUGUCCUUGUGGUUGUGCCAUUUGUGAGUUUUGAUGCUGCAUUGUCUGCUGCCCAAUUUGAGACAUCAUUUGCUGAUUUGGGUGCUGCAUUGCCUGUGGCCUAUGUUGCUGCGGGAUAAACUGCCCCUGCUGUCCCAUUUGUGGACCUGGUUGUUGUGCACCCUGCUGAUCCGUAACCUGCGCUACCAUUGAACCCUGUUGCUGCCCAACUAUUUGUCCUUGCUGUUGAGCUAAUUGGCUCAUUUGCUGCCCCAGCUGUUUUGCACCCUGGACAACUUGCACCUGGCUCAUCUGUGCCACCGCACCAUUAGGUUGUGCGGAGUGGGCAACAGAAAUUGGAGUUAGCUUAGGUGUGGAAACUGCAGGAGGAGGUCCCAGUGGCAGGGGUGGAGGCAAAAUGGUUGGCCUUUCGUAUUGGGUGACAUUGUUCUCAGGGUUCCAGUAAUACAGGAGGCCAGUUGUUCCAUCAAUCAGCCCCUUCCAAGGUUUCGGAAGAGUAGGAUCAUCCGGUGCAUACCGCGGGCCAAGAUUGGCUGCUGCUGCUUCUGCAGUCGUCAUUUGUCCAAUAUAUAUCUAAAACCACAUAAAGUCCUUAGAUUCAGAACAAGGGUGGAAAAACCCAUGCCGUAGAUAGUCUAAUGCAAUAUUUUUUUUAAUGUGAAUCCACUCAACCGAAACAAAUACGAAACGCACCCACAAAAACAUGUAAACUUUCCCUCCAAAAUCAGCAAAUUUCUAAUCAAAUUACAGAAAUUAAGACAAUAUUGCAUAAGUCAUCAGAAAAAAACUCUAAAAGUAGCAAUACUUAUCUGUUAUAUGUAAUCUGAAAUAUAUAUAUAAGAAAUCAUAUCAUAUGACAGAGAGAUUUUUCAAUCAGUAGCAAUUCAGACUACUAGUCAUAUAUCAAUUAAUAAGACCCUAAAACAAGAAUUACAUAAACAAAGAAACAAGAUAAUUGAAUCUGACAUCCAAUACACCAAAUAGCAUUGGUAAUACAAUUAUACAUACAAGAGAAAGUGAAAAUGGACAAUCCUAUUAUUGAACAACAAAUCUCAAGUAAAACCUUUUUUUCCCUUACCAUACAUAAUGGGAGGGUAGAAAACAACAGAACAGCAAUUCCUUAAUUAAAAGAGCCAAUCAAAACAGACGAUAAGAUAAUCCAAAAAGGGAAUCCUAUAAGCAAACCACAUGGUCAAGAAAGAGGCUUCUAUCUUCGUUGCUCAAAACCAAAACCCCAUGAAAUAAACAAAAAGGAACAAGAAAACAGUAGCAAUUCAGACUACUAGUCAUAUAUCAAUUAAUAAGACCCUAAAACAAGAAUUACAUAAACAAAGAAACAAGAUAAUUGAAUCUGACAUCCAAUACACCAAAUAGCAUUGGUAAUACAAUUAUACAUACAAGAGAAAGUGAAAAUGGACAAGCCUAUUAUUGAACAACAAAUCUCAAGUAAAACCUUUUUUUCCCUUCCCAUACUUACAUGGGAGGGGAGAAAGCAACAGAACAGCAAUUCCUUAAUUAAAAGAGUCAAUCAAAAGAGAUGAUAAGAUAAUCCAAAAAGGGAAUCCUAUAAGCAAACCACAUGGUCAAGAAAGAGGCUUCUAUCUUUGUUGCUCAAAACCAAAACCCCCAUGAAAUAAACAAAAAGGAACAAGAAAACAGUAGCAAUUCAGACUACUAGUCAUAUAUCAAUUAAUAAGACCCUAAAACAAGAAUUACAUAAACAAAGAAACAAGAUAAUUGAAUCUGACAUCCAAUACACCAAAUGGCAUUGGUAAUACAAUUAUACAUACAAGAGAAAGUGAAAAUGGACAAGCCUAUUAUUGAACAACAAAUCUCAAGUAAAACCUUCUUUUCCCUUCCCAUACUUACAUGGGAUGGGAGAAAACAACAGAACAGCAAUUCCUUAAUUAAAAGUCAAUCAAAAGAGAUGAUAAGAUAAUCCAAAAAGGGAAUCCUAUAAGCAAACCACAUGGUCAAGAAAGAGGCUUCUAUCUUUGUUGCUCAAAACCAAAACCCCCAUGAAAUAAACAAAAAGGAACAAGAAAACAAUAGAGAAAAACAAAUGAAAAGGUGAGCAAUGGCAUACACCAAACUGAAGCAGAUUCCAUUUAGCUAUUAAGGUUUGGAACUAAAGAGGGAACAACAAAAGGAGGGAAACGCGUCAUAAGUCAGCAACUACUAAAAAUCCCCCAAAACAACAAUUGAUUUUCUCAAACUAGUUGAAGAAAUCCCAACACUUCAAGAAUCAAAUACCCUUCCAAAUACACGCAUUCAUAUAAUAAGCUCAAACCAGAACAGCACAAAACCAAGUUACAAAUCAAUCUUUGAGGAAUAAUUUCAAGUUUUCAGGUCACCAGUUAUAGUAAAAAAGCGGGAAAAUUCAAUCAAAUGAAAUCAAGUUCGAAGAUAAAAAAGAAAAAAAGAAAAAUUGGGCACUAUAAGAAGAGAGAAUUUUACCGGGAAAAUAAAAGAAUCAAGCCUUGGUUCACCUGGAAAGUCGCUCCAAAGAAAAUUCCUGCAAUUUAUAGAGACAGAAAUAGGUUUUCUGCGACAUUACCUUCGACUAGAAACCCUAACCCCAUAAAUAAUAAUAAAUAUAAUAAAAAAAGGGGAGGUAAUAGGAGAGUUGAGAAGAGCGGUUUUAAUGGUGUGGGAUAAAACAGAAAACCAGAGAGAAAUAGAUUGACGAUAAUGGUCACAAGUGGUUUCGAUAAUAAAAAAGGGAAGAGGAAGACGAGGCUGGUUUGGCGGCGGGCGAUGUGUUAAGAGAGAUGAGAGUGGGUCGGAAACUUUUAAAGGGAACUAGAAUGAAGCCCCGCAUUCGCUGGGGUUUUAGGAAAUUCUAAAUUAGAUAUUUAUUUUAUUUAUUUUUAAUAUAUUAAUAGUAUUAGGGUAAACUACUUAAAUGGUCACUAAACUUUCUGUGUGAUCCUAUUUUAGUCACUGAGUUAUAAAAAUUUUCAAUUUAAUCACUAAAUUAUCCGAAUUUGUUUUUCUCGACAACAGUUUCAUUAAAAAAUUAAUGGUAUUAUGGCACAACAAAUGAAAUUCCUCCAUUUUGUUUUAAUUCCUUGAUAGAGAGUUGACUUGGUCAACUCAACAUUAUAAAAAAUUAGAAGGAAAAAGAAAAGAAAAAAACAAAAGAUAAGAGAGUACCCAUACCCAUUUUGAUUUUUGUAGGUUCAAGUCCUCCAGUGCCAUUCUUGAUGAUCCGAACGGUCGAACAAAUGAGAUAGGCAUGGAGAGUAAUAUAUCUCAGGUUGACAGUAAUCUAAGGGCAUAUGACAAUGUAUUAAAGGUUUUUAUUUCGAGCCAACAUCUAGGUUUUUGGCCAUUGUAGUUCUUGUUUUCAGAAAACUAAUUGUGUAAUUUAAAUAUGGAUAAAAAAGGAGUCUUUUGGCUGCGAGUUUGGUCAAAGACAACGUCGAACAGCGAUAGCGUAAGGCGACAAUAAUUAGGGUUACUAGAAAGAAAUGAGAAGAAGAAAAUGAAAAAUGAAAAAAAUAAAUAGAAGUAAAUAAACAUGGGGAAUAUAAACAAAGAAGAAGAAGAAGAAAAUAGAAAUAUAAUAAUGUGGUGGAGCCUAUUGCCUUAAAUACUUUUUGAAAUUCCAUGUCAUCUAGUCGUUUAUACUUUAACGGUCUAAUGACUAAAAAAUGAAUUUGGAUAGUUUAAUAAUUAAAUUAAAAUUUUUCAUAGUUCGAUAACCGAAACAGAAACACACAAAAUAUUUGAUGACCAUUAAGGUAGUUUGCCCUUAAUAUUAAUACUAAGUUGUUGUACUUAUUUUUUAUUAAUUAUAAGAAUUAAAUUUAGGGAAAUAUAUAUAUUCAUUCGAAUAUAUACAUUAGAUGAUAAUUAGUGACUCGCUUUAGGUCAUAAUUAUACAAAGCCAAGUCAAAGGAGCGAAACCAUAAUAAUCCUUUAUGCGUUCGGAAUGUUUUAGGGUCAGUUUAAUAUUACUUCUCAAAAGCACUUUUGGGACAAAAAGCACUUUUGAGAUAAAAGUAUUGAUAAACAAGAUGCUUUUAGGACAAAAAAAUGCUUUGCAAAAGCACUUUUUGGCUAAAAGUGGAAGCAAAAAAUUUUAGCUUUUACUUAAAAGUACUUUUUGGCCAAAAAAUACUUUCUGGCCCAAAAGUGCUUCUAAGAAGCAAUGCUAAACUGGCCCUUAGUAUCCUUUACACUGUGUUGGAUUAUUUCAAUAGUUGGCAAUGGUGAUAAAAAGGUCUUACACUUGUUAAUAGUUGAAGCAAUAUUGAAUUUGAUAAUGGUAGAUUUAGUGAAUGAGUGAUGGAGAGAAAUCUUUAGUAUUUGCUUUCGUUUUGUUUCUAUAAAGUUUGGCUUUCUUGUGUUGGUCCAUUAUUAUAAAUGCUAAAACAACUCACUGUUGUUGGUAAUUUAAAUUUAUAUGAUUAUCAUACUUUCCAAAAGCAGGAUAUGUUUUUAGAGGAACUAAGUAAUGAAAAGGAUUGGUUAGAUACCUUCAUUUUCCACGAUUAUGCAAUUUCCCUAGUAGAAAAAGAAAAAUGGCAUAAUAGAGAUAUAACAGGCUUAGGUAAAUCACCUUUCAUACACAACUCUUUUGGCAUUUUUAAGAUAUGUUAUACUACCUCCAUAGGUAGCUACACAUGUCACCAUUGUGCGAACCUCAUACUAGGUUCACCUCCAACAUAGAGCGGACCCCAUACUUGACAAACCUUUGUUGUGGACUACCUUAAUUAGGAGCGCAUAGAAACUCACACCCAUUGAUUACUAAGUCGUCUUAAGAUGUUACAUCAUUAAUCUAUAGUAUCACAUCAUCACCUUGCAAGAAGGCAAAAUAUGACCUUGUUACUAGUGAGUGUUGGACCUAGUGCCCUGAGUGUAGUAUAUUCGUUUGUAAACUUGUAAUUUUUUCAAACAAAUUGGUUAAUAAAACAAAUUUAUUAAUUAUAGUUAAUAUACUUUGUAUUAUUAUCCUCAAAUGGUUUUUGCACUCAAAGCAAAAUGGAAGCAAAUGUUGCUCAUUGGUUAUCUAAUGUUUAACUAAUACUAAGUAGUAUUACGUGGUCAGAUCGUGAUAUGAAAAGAUAACUUAUAUUAGUAGACGAACCUAAAUAUGUCCUUAGCAAAAUGGAGGCAAAUGUUGCUCAUUGGUUUAACUAAUACUAAGUGGUAUUACGUGGUUGGAUCGUAAUUCGAAUAAACAACUUGUAUUAGUAGACGAACCUAAACAUGUCCUUAGUCUAAUCGGAAAUGAGCAAACCUAUUAAAAGACUAAUAUGUCGUCUAUUAAGUCCAAUUGGGGAGAUGCCUUAUCUUGGGCAUCAGAGCGGAUGACUCCUAGAAGAUAGAGACAUAGAUGUGACUAAUUGGACUGACAGUACAUCAGACAGAACCCAAGUGGCAUAGAACAUGAAUUCGUUUAUGGACUUGUUCACUUGUAACGUUCAUAGUGUGGCAUACCUAAAUCUUAAGUGGAUGGCGGACUAUGUAUGCGUGACUCAUACAUUUUGAUGUAAGUAAAAGCCUGAGUUUGAAUAGAUAAGGAACCGAAAGCUGGUGCGUUGGGUGUAUGACUUCUGUAGUAUGUAACAAUGGAACUCAUAGCCCAAGACAUGGGUAAAUGAUAUCCCCUCAUUGGCAUUACAUGGUUGAUGAAAAAUAAAUGUGUCUACGAGUCAUUCGUCUUUGUGAUGAAUGAGUUGAUCGCUAUAGUGAUUAACAUUUCAUGAAUGAAGAUGUAAUGGUUACCAUGAGAUAAAAUAAGAUCAUAUUGGGAGAGUGAAUAUUAUCCCAAAGAGAUCAAAGAUAUCCUAUGAGGGUAACACACUUAUGACAAGGUCAUUGGAUGAGCACUGAGUAGAUGCUUUCGUAAUGGUAUGUCAUUGGGGAGAGCUCAGUCACGAUACUAUAGUAGGAUGUUUUCGUGAGUAAAUGAGCUUAUAAUUAAUAGGCGAAAAGUCAAAACGUAAGUAUAAAUCAUUUGAACCCUAAUUACAUAUGUCAAUCGGUCCCUCCACUAGCUUGUUGAAACCAAUAAUGAAUUGCGUGUUGAAUCGAAAAUGAACGUAAUGAAUAGAACUAGAGAAAUUAAAAACAUUCAGAAAUUAUUAUGGUUUUCUCCAAAAUGGAAAAAUUGAAUUAUUUGGAAAUGAAUAUGGUUUUCUCAAAAUGAAAAUGGAGAUGAAAAUGAGAAAUGAUUCAUUUGCAAAUGUACGUGAAUUACUCAAAAAUUAUUAGAAGAAUGAGUUCAUGUUUUUGAGCAGUUUUAAAGCCCGAAAAUGAAAAUUAUGGUGCCCCAAACCCUACCGGUCUGAGCAUUACUUUAGCCACUUACGUAACUCUCCUUACCGAUUAACCAACACACCACAAACCAACCAUUACACCAAUUAAAAACAUGCUUAAACAAGUAAUUUUAAAUGAACAAUCCUAAAUCAUGCUUCAUCUAUCACAAUACAAUGAAAAAGGACAAGAAGUAAAAUCAUCAUUUUACGCAUUGUAAACAAUAAAUACGUAAAUCAUGAAUUUGUACCAACUAGUGCCUUGGGAAUUUUCUUUUAAACUAUUUGUGACCAAUUCAGUUCAAAAUGACAUUUAAAACUCACUUAAUUUAAAAACGAAGUUUUAAGGACUAAAACAUAAUUUUUGCAAAAUAUUCAGGUAAACCAUUUUAAGCAAUUGAAACUACCAUACUAAAAUUCAAGGAAUGAAAAUUAAGACAUUAAAAUUCUAAAACAUUUUGUGUAGUUUAAAGACUUUAAAUGCAUCACCUUAAAUUUUCUAAAACUUGCGAAUUCACACAACACAUACAUUAACAAUAAUAGAUAGACUAAUUCACAAUAACAUAGCAAAAUAAUUCGCCAAGUCCACACUGUGCAUAACCCUAUGGCGAACUCCCUUAUGAUGAACUCUCCUACGGUGAACUCCCUUAUGGCAAACUCACCUAUGGCGAACUCCCUAUGGUGAACUCACAUGUGGCAAACUACUCUAUGGAGAACUCCCUAUGGCGAACUCACUUAUCGUUGAUCUGCCGCAAUUCAUUGUAGUAGAUUAAACAAGUUUUCGUACUUAAAGAGCUUGAAUAUAAGCAAUCUUAUUAUGUUUUAUUUAGUUUUUCUAUUUUAGUUUUAAUUUAAUAAAAAUUGUGAUUUGAAGCUGAUUUUAUGACCUUAGGGGCCGAAAUAGGCCUAAGAGAAGGCUAACGUGUUUGGUGAGUGUGUAGGACAUCAUUCAGAGGCAUGAGAGCUAGAGACUGGUCGUUAUGUUACAACACGGAGGUUCAACAUCGGAAUAUCGUGAAGAGGAACCAAAAAUACCAAGUCUACCUUUGGUGUCGCGACAUAUCCAAUGGAUGUUGUGACACACCCAUGAAGCUAAGCCUGAGCCAAGUAAACUGCGUUUAGCGUUACGGUAUAAAUAGUGGAUGUCGCGAACCAGCCCUGUAUGUGAAAGCAUUAACGAGUUGAGGGCAUUUUGGUUCGCACAAUGUAUUUUAACGUAAAAGAGUCAAUCGAACUAAGGCUAAGGAUGAUGGCUAACCCUAAUAUUAUAAUAGGAUCAUUAAACACUUGAGAGAUUAUCUUUUUUAUAACUUAGACUUUUUCCUUCAGUUUAGUUUUUCAAUGUUUAGAUUCCUUCAUACUUGGGAUUUAUUUUCAUUUUAUCUUUGUUCAUGUUCUUCGAAGAAUCUUUUUUGUAGACUUAACACAAACUCUUUAUGGAUUUCUACACUUCAUUCAAAUACAAUUCAAGAUUCUUCUUAAACUUUUAAUCUUGAUCUGAUCUUUAUGUUUAUUUGUUUUAUCCUCUUAUGGAGGAUGAGCGAGUGAAAGUGUAAUUAAUUAAUUUCUAUGUAGGGUUUCUUAGCGGAUCAGCUGUUUAGGAUACAAAGAACUUAAACCCUAGGCCUGACAACCCUAGAAAGUCAUUUAGGUGGGAAAUAAACCAUUGUUGGUAUUGCCUAUCCGUGAGCCCCUUACCUCAAUCCGAUUUAGACUGUGAGGUUGAGAGAUAAGUAGUUCUUGCCGACUCAUUAUUUUAGUGGAAGAUCGAGAGAUCCUGCAUGAGUAAAACCUAGCUGAUUGAAUAGAAACUUGAAAUAGGAAUUAGUUAUGAUCAUUAAUGCGAGUUAGUCACCCAUGCUUAGAUUUAAUUGAGUUUACAUAUUAGUUCUUUGUUUUCAUUCUUUUAUGCCUGUUUAUUUCUUUUCUUAUAAAAACAAAUAUUUUUCACUUUAUACUUUGUCGUACUAUGAUUUAUUUGCAGUACUAAAUAGAUCUAUUUACGUUUAGGUUACUAUUAAUUUAGUAUUCGCCUCCCUUGGGUACAAUCCUUGGAAUAGUCACCUACUUUUCUGUGAAAACUAUAUUACAACUUGACUCAUAUACUUGCAAACGCCGCCUCAAUUCCAUAUUUUUAGCAGCAGUAUUCACACUUUGGACAUUAGUACAUUCGAAGGCGAUCAAGUAAUUGGCACUAUUAUCGGGUAGGCAACGUUGGUAAAUUAGUUUUAACUUUUGUGUCUAAUAGAGUAAUUAGGAAAAUUUUAAACUAUAGAUACGAUCUUUAAUUUCUUCAAUUUAUUUAUUUAUUUUACUUUGCUAAAAUUUUUCUUUUCUUCAAGAAAUCCCAUCACAUACUCCUAAAAAAAAGAAAGUUCCCUACAGAGUUAGUCACUGAGACCAAUUUAGAAAUAUUAUGGACGAAUUUUAUUAUAUGUGGUCCGAUGAUGAAGCAAAUUACAAUGAUGAAUUUUAAAUAGAGGGAGUAUAUAAAGAAUGGGAAAUUAAAUAAAACCAAAUAUUACUAAUACUAUAAUUGAACCAGCUAAGAGGUGAAGUCUCAACAUUUCUACAGAACAACAAUCGGGGUAUGAAUAUAGAUAGAUCUUGCCAGAGGUUCGGUCAAAUCCAGGGCAAAAGUAAAGAUGAGUUUUGGAUAAGUGAAGAGGAGAACCCAACCGCAAUAGCAUCUUGGGAAGGUAAAACCUUGAGUAGCCGGGCAACCCUAAUUUUGGAAGACACAGAGGAGACAAUGUUGCAAGAUGAUGUCAAAGCUGAGAUAGAACCAAUAGUUGAGUUGACAACUAAAUGUAACAAUAGGUCAGGUACUGAAUUUUCUAUCUUAACAACAUCGGUCCCAUCACAAUUGGAGAAUGAAAAACAUCAAGAUAUAAUUGAAGGUGUAAGUUUUUCAAACCUACUCCAAUCAUUUUGUGAGAUGUUAACUCUUAUAGAACAAACAGAGAAAUUGCCAAUGCCUUCAAAACCUGUAAAGGAAAUCAUGGAAGAGCAUAAGAAUUUUGAAAAGGAAGACCCGUUCAACAUUGAUACGUUUUGUAAAGUGAUAAUCUUUAAUCAGGCACCCCAAAAAAUUUAAAGGCUAAGGAGUUUUACGAUGUUAAUCAAGCUACGAACUAUAUGUGUCAAUAGAGCUUGAAGUGACUUAAGAAUUGUUCCUAAUCGACUGACCCUACCAACAAAUAAGAAACUAGGGUUGGGGAAAUUAUAAAGAACUCACUUCCUACUAGAACCACAUAACGAAUUUGUAUCCCAAUCAAAAGGGAUGUCCGAAGAUUUAUUGAUCGAACAAUGUAAGAUUGAUUCUAUAACCCUAGAUUUUGAAAGAAACUCUGAAAUAUCUAGUUUGUUAGGGAAACUUUUCUUAGACUCCUCUAGGUUUAUUACUAAUGAAGUCAAAAUAAAAAAUAAAAGUAAGAUAUAUAAAAGUGUUGUUUUAUAGUAUCAGGAGUCUGAGAAAAAUUUAGGACCAUCAAGUUAUCGAAUAUGUAUAAACGUAGCUAAUAACUUUGAUCAGCGAAAAGUAUUUAUUGUGAUCAGUGCAAGUCAAAAGGAAAAGGUCAAGGACGGGAUAAACGAAAGAAUGCAGAGUGCCAUGACAGAUGCUAGACUGAUACUGAUAGACAAGUAAUAAAAGAACACUCGUGUGUACAUUGAUGGAGCUGACCAUAAACUUCCGUUGAAAUGAUGUUAAGAAGAAGUCCCAAGUCAGACGAUCCAGUGCAGUAGCCCUCUUGAUAGUCAUCCACCAUCUGUGAACCUUGUCCGCCAGUAAUGAUACGACAGAACCCAACUUAUCCUAGUCAGAACAACCAAUCUAACUGAUAAUACGAACGACGCCCUCCAACAAUACUCUGCACAUGUCGGAUUACCGCACCCAACACCACGAAACUCCUUACCACUAAUAGCUCGUAAAUGCUCUAGGCCAAACCAUGACAAGCUAGGGCAGUGUUGGCACCAAUGAUACACUAUAGUGCUGCUACUAUCUCAGACAUGAAGUGCUCAACGUAGCCCAUCUGAGCAUCGUCUCACAGCAAUGUAUCAUCAUCCAUACUACCCCGAUCAUGAUGCGGAGGCAUAACAACUACCAUAUACUAAAGAGAAAGAGUAAAUAACACGUAACAUGAGUGAGUAGUGGUAAGUGAUCCAAGAUUUAACUAAGUAGAGUUCCUAUAGGGUAUUGUGUUCCCAGUCCUACCCCUAAAAAUAAUUUAUAUCACAAAGAUCAUGCAUAGGCAAAAAUUCAAAAUUUUUAAUCAAAACGAGCAAGCAAACAUCAUAAUCCAAGAUCAUUGAUAUUCAAGCAACCUAGGCUAACCUAAGGUUUUAAACCUAGAGCUCUGAUACCAUGAAAUGUGACACCCAAACCCAACUGGGACGGACCAGCCCGAAUUCAAAGAAUUAGAUUAGCUACCUAAGUGACUUUCCAGCAACGACCACCCAAGACACACCUUGACCUUAUAACACCUCAAUAUUAUCUAAUUAUUAGUUAUUUAUUAAUGCAGAAGCAAACUAUGAGCCAAUUUUAAACUUUUCCUAGGUAAUUUAACCUAAAGGCAUUUUCGUCAUUUUACCACCUAUGGUAAAAUUAACCUAAUUUUAUAUCUAAGUGUUUAUUGACCUUCUUUUAGUUGAAUUAUGUAAGCCUAAAAAUUUCAGCUUAAUUUGAGUUCGUUUACUAUGUCUAAUUCAAGUUUUAUUACUAGGGACUAAAUUGUAACAAAUAAAAAUAUUAGGACCUAUUCAAAAUUAUGAGUUAAGUGCUUUCCUAUUUAAUUUUACCCAUUAAAAGACUAAUCCUAAAAUUUUACCAAGUUUCCUUAUCAUCUAAGGCACUAAUUAGACUAAUCAAAUUUAAGGACUAAAUUGUAACUUAAACAAAUUAGAAUACCAAUUUUAAAAGACAAAAAUUCAAACCCCAAAACCCACACGGCCAUGUUCCCAAGAUCAUGUGUCAUUAAAUAACUGUGUUCACGUCGUAAAAAACUUUUAGGUCGAUCGCACACUUCCGUAUGGAAAUGCCACACGCCCGUGUAAAAAUCACUGCACCUAUUUUUACGAAAAACUCGUUUUAAAACCCGAUUUUGCAUAUUUUAAUGGUCAAUUAAACUCGAUUUAAUACUAUUAAUUAACAUACAUAUACACCUUCAGUUAAGUUUAUUGACAUCAAUUAAGCCUCAAUUAUCUAGAAUUAGGUAAUCAAUUUCUUGCAUAACAACCACUGAAUAAAUCAAACAAGUGGCAUACCUUAGUCGCUAGUAACCCACUCCAUAGAAGCUUCAUUUAAGUAAUCGUUAGUAUAAAUUUAAUGCCUUACACACCGUGUUAUCAAUCACCGUGUUAUGAAGCAACAGUACACCGUAAACCAUUCAAUAAUUAAACUCAAACAUGCCUCAAAAUUAUUAUAAAACCAUCCAAAAUAAAAUGUCCAAUGUCCAAUUACAACCAAAAUUAAACUAAUUCUCGAAAGUUUCACAAUGCCCGAUUACAGUCUCUAAAACAUGUAAUAAAGUCUCUACCAUGCUUAAAUCUCUUGGAACUCUCUUUCUCAGCUCCUUUACUCCUCAAGCCCGACGAUUAUCUGUACGAAUUGUGAGGGUGUGAGCUUUAAAAAGCUCAAUGAAUGUUAAUAAAAAUGACUAGUAAAUCAGCAUCCAAAUCAUGCUUAAAUUACAUCCAAUCAGUCACCAAUUAUCAGCCAUAAUAAAGAAACAUGUUACUUUAAUUUCCAUAUACUUUAUCAAUAUCAAGAAUCAAUUAUCCAUGGCUUACAAACAUCGAAUGAUAUAACAAUAAUCACACAUAAAUAUAUUGGCAUACAAUUCUCAUGGCUUAAUCGGGUGAUCAUACAUCAAAAAAAUAGAUCUCCGAACUCCCACAAAUAUCAAUUACAAUCCACUGAGUUGAGUGAGCCAAAGCACACGCUCCCUUAUAGCACCUCAAAUAACCCAAUAAGUGGAGACUCAUGCUCAACACGCCUUUAUCUACACCAAACAAAUCAGUCUACCUAGAGCCUUAUGCUCACAAUGUCACAAAUAAAGGUGAGUACUCACAAAUCCUAUAGCAUAUAAAUUAGUCAUUAUUGUGCUCAAUUUAAUGUGACAAUAUGCUUAUGUGUAACAUGUAACAUAGUCAUUUAACAUCCAAAUAAAUCAAGCAUUUCAUUUGCCAUUUUCUAAUGUUCAAUUACCAAUUGUAACACCAAUAUAUCAUAAUAAAAAACUUUAGUAAACAUGCUUUAAUCAUCAAUAUAAUUAACCUAACUAAAUUGCAUAAAACCACCUAAAUGCUUACUUACCAUUAUUUAAUAAAAAUUCAACUCUUGUACAUAUAAUAUCAAUCUUGCACAAAUCAGCCAUUCAACCAUAAUUACUCAAUUGAAAUAAUCAAUUAAGCUACUACUUAAACAUAAAUGAGGGUCAAUUUACCAAAUCGCCCUUAGAAACACUCACCACACAAUUUGUUUUACCACAAACAAGUGAUCAACCAAGCAAAAAUCCAAGCUUCAAUUCUGGUUAGCUCAGUGAUCUUCAAGAUUUAGAGCUUCAACAGAGAUAAAGUAGACAUUACCACCUUUCUAAUGCUAUAAUAAACACGAAUUUUAAUUAACUAUACUAAUCAAAAUCCUCUCACAAAGAUACCUUACAAGAUUUGUAACAUCAAGUCGAAAACUCGAUUCCUCACAAAAUCGAUCUCUCCAGCCCUCCUAAACACUUUCAAUCAUCAAUACUAGACCAAAUACAAUUAUACUAUGCAUCAGUUACAUCUUUAAAUCAAUUUCACAAAAUUCUAGAAAAUCGAUUCAUGAAGAUUAUGAAAUUCAGAUUUCUUUAAAUUACCUCACAAAUGUUUAAUCUUGAUAAAUAAGAUCAAAAACCUUUUAAUAGAUCCAUUUUGAGUUGGAACAUCCAUUGAUUUGUGGAUUUACUCUCAAAAUUCAAGAUCUAUCAUUAAAGAACCAUUUGUUCUUGAAAGAAGUUGACAUUGAUAAAAAUCCUUUAUUUGACUCCUAAAUCAUGUAAAAAUGUUUCUAAUCAUCAUAAAAAUAAGUUUAGCAUUGAAGAUUACCUUUGGUUCACUCUAAAUUCGUUGAUCGAAAAUCUUGAUUCAAGAAACUUGAGAAAAUUCAUAACAUUUUUUGCUACUUUUGAGAAUAAUUUUAGGUGAACUGAGAGAGUAUUUUGAGAAGGAAAUUGGUUGGAUCUAUUCUAUGAUGAUAGAUCUUUAAAAUCAUGCAAAGAAAACAAAUUUUAAAACUCUCUAAUCUGAUGUAAAAUGUGUGAAAAUUGGGCUAGAUACAUUAGUUUUAAAUCUGAAACCACCCACUAGAAAUUUAAAAAUUGGGAAAUUUGCCUACUGGCCACUCCCACAUUUCCCUUACUUUACCAUUUAAUGAUUUCCCUCCAAAAUUUUGAAUUUUAAGUUUUAUUUUCCAUAUAAAUACUCUAAAAUUUUCCUUAUUUUACAAUUAAACCCUAUUUAAUUAAUAUUUAAAUUUUACCCAAAUUACCCCUAAUAAAAACUAUUUUAAAAUUCUUUUUCAACCAAAAUUGAUGAUUUUCACUAAUAAUUAUUUAAAAUCUAUAAAAUUAAUUUUUAAAAAAUAUUUUUUUCCGGAUUAUUGUUUAAUCGAUUUUAGAUUAAAUUAACCUCCUAAAUUAAAUUAAAAAUUACUAGAAACCCUAUAAAUUCCUAGUUUUACACUCGAAACCCGAAAAAUAUAUCUAAAACUACUAGACCCGGUUUAGGGAUAUUACAAACUUACAUGUUGAAUGGAAAUGAUGAAAUGGUUGUGUUGCAAAUGUGAAUAUAUAGAUAUGGUAUUAAUGUUUAGAAUUGAACCCAUUGGAGAUGAGUUUUUUGCUAGAAAAGUCAAAGGAAAUGUCUUUGGAUUUGUUUAGGUAAGUGCAUAUUGACAUCAUUUUGGGCCAUUUGCAAAACAAGUAGUCACUUUGUAACGUCAAGCCCUUGUCAUCAUAAUGAGACCAAGUCAGUGAAUUAAAUUGCAACGAGGAACCCCCGAAGUCCCAACGACAACCCUGUAUUUUGUAAACUUUACAAUUUAGUCCUAUUUUGAUCAUGGGUUAGCAAAAGACCUUUCGCAAGCUCAUAUAAAACCUGGAAAUGAUAGCAUAUCAUAUUGAUAUUCAUUAAUAUGGUUAAUGGUAUACAUAAAUGGAAAAUUAAAUUGUAGUUACUUCGUCAACCGAUGUGGCAUCCCGUAGCUCAAAUCCGAUGAUCAGAUCAGGUUUGGAGUGUUACAUUUAUUGGUAUCAGAGUAACAUGUUUAGCUAGUUCUUAAACUAAAUCAAGCUCAAAAUUAAGUCUAAAGGUACAUGCCAACAUUGAGUCGAGUCUGAGUCAUGAAUUAGAUGCUGAUUAUGAAUUGAGCUACUAUAUAGCUGAUAAUGUUAGGCAAAUUGAUAAAUGUUGUUAGAGAAUAAGUUAACAACAGUAAUCACCCCAUUAAGGGUGAGAGUAAAGUGAGAAUUGAGAUAUAUGAUAUUGAUCAAGCCGGUGCUCAAAGCAAAAAUAGAGUUAAUAAAAGUCACCAUAAGGGUCGUGGUGAUAAGGCUUUACUUCACGUUAUAACGGAAGUUUUCUGGAGAGUAGCAAGUGUUUCCUAGCAAGUUACACUAGUAGCUGCAGCUUGGCGAGUCCUAAUAAAAAAAGUUACGAAAGUAUGAAACAACUGAUUUCUAAGGGCUGAAUGUGUUGACUGUUCAUUAACUGAAAUUUGGUUGGAAUCAGCCGAAUUAGUUCUCCAAUAAUUAGACUACUCACCACAUGUGUGUCAGGUGUAUGGUAUCUCUUCUAAAGAGAGAGGCAUAUUAGUGGUAGCUAACUUUCACCUAUCUUGUGCUUUCGAAUCGAAUUUCUUAGACAUUUUGUCAGACCUAAGAAAAAGACUGAGUUAGGCAACUAUCCAUGCUAGUUAUCAGUACUGGUGGUCGUGCUAAAGACGUUAGUCUUCCAAACUAUGACUUUGUGGAAGAAACCAUAAGGGUGGGUGUUGGAAAAAGACUAACCCAUGUUGUUCAAUUCAGGUCCCUAGAACAUUUAAAUAGUGAGUUCCUAUGACUACCCAUAAAUCUGCUCAUUUAGUUAAAGGCCAGGGAAAUAGUCGUAGAGAAUCGAUAGUGAGGAAUAGUCAAAUAAGGGAAGCAGGUUUUGCAAUCCAACAAUCUAAAGCUAGAGUUCUUACACAAGCCUAUGUGGUCUGAACCAGGGAAGAGGAUAAUGUUACUGAUGCUAUAGUAAGAAAAUUGAAAUCGGAGUUGUUAAGUAUAACAAGAUUUGUUCCAAGUCCUUUGAAAUAAAUUGUACUCGUUGAUCAAGUGUACAAGUGAAGCACAUUAGAAAUCAAGAAUAAAUCAUUCCUAGUUAAUUUGUUAAUCAUAUCAUUUGAUGAUUUUUAUGUAAUUAUGAGAAUAGACUGGUUGACCGAGCACUGUGCUAUUUUGGACUAUUGUAGAAAGAAAGUUCUUUGUGAAAAUCCUGAAACGAGAAAUUAUUAAAGUCAAGGGCAUAAUAUCGAGUAAAUCUACUUAUUUUUUUCUACAAAACAGCAUAUAACCAAACCGCUCGGGAAGUAAUUACUUUAGAAACAACUUAAAACAAAACCUCUACCUAUUUUUUCUACAAAACAACAUAUAACAAAACCGCUCGGAAAGUAUUUAUGUUAGACACAUUUAAAACAAGAGCAAUUCAAGUGCAUAAAAAUUGCAUUCACAUUUUCUCUACAAGAAACAGAAUUGCUUGAUUAAAAGAAGUAGGAUAUUAGUGCCACGACGAUGAUUCCAUUCACCCCUACUUUCUGUUAAAUAUUUUAUAAUGUUAUCCAUAUUAAUAUCUUUAAAAUAUUCGAAAUCACUGUUUUCAACAAAAAUCAGAUUCAUAAUAUGGAGAUUAUAAAACUCACAAAUUUCUCUAAGGGUGACAUGUACAUCUUUACCCUACAUCGGUAAGUUUUCCCAAACAGCAUCAUAAGGUCAUUUAGACUCUCGAUCCCUAAAUGAUGCAUAACUCUUGUACUACAAGGAUUAAAGUGGGGUCUUUAGGAGUUACACAAAAAUAUUCCCACCUAUGAUACUGAACGAGUGCCCAAAUUUCUUUGCACAAGACCAUCGAUGACUCGAAGCCCUUCUCUUGUAUGAACGUCUUUCUUUGAAUUUCUAAGAAGAAUUAUCGACAUUCGAGUUUGAAAAGUUAGAGGGAUUCACAUUCACUGGGGCCUCUUGUUCAUUAGUUCCUCUAGUUUUCCUAUAAGGCAUUUUCAAAUGUAUUUGACUAGAUGAUGUAAAACAAAUCGAGCAAUAUAUUUCUCAAACCAAUAAUGCAAUGUAACAGUAGAACUUAGAAAUGAACCAUUAACCUUAGUAUGUCAAAUAUUUGUUGUUCCUUAUGUAAGUUCAUUACAAAUUCCUCGUCAAUGUGGAGUUUUAUCACUGCACAAAAUAAGAACAAAAAAAGCAAAAGAAAAAUUUGUAGCAAAAAGACAAAGAAAAGACAUAGUGAAUAAAGGUUUUGAAGUUAGAGUGUUUUAAAGAGAGUUGAGAAGUUUUAGAGUUAAAGAAAGGUAAUACUUAGUGGUUUAGUUUAAAUAUGACUGUUAUUUUUGGUUAAAAUCGGGUAAAAAUAGAAUGUAGGCCGGCUGGUUGCGCAACGAGUCGGGUCGACCCUGCAGAAAAUUGUAGUAAUGUAACAACAUAAGGGUUCAAUGUCACGACAUUCUCAGCAGUGUCCCGAUGCCGCGACAUCAGGAUUCGGUGUCGCAACACACCCUGAAAUUUUUUAAUUUUGAGCCUACUUGCUAUUAUGUCGCGACACAGGGGUUUCAUGUCUUGACAUCGAGCUGCAUUACUCAAUUUCUCGAGUCUGUGGUCGGUGUUACGACACGGGGGUGCCAUUUUGCGACACCGACCCGGUUUUGGCCCUUUUUCUUGAAUUCUAAGGUUCUCAGUACAUACCUAACCUAAUUCCAAGUAAUUUAAAGAAAAAUUAAGUCUCAAUCUACAUAUUCUACAAUGUAAGUUUAUUAAAAUAUAAUAAUUUACAAAAAUUAAAAUAGUUUAAGGAGGAUCAAGUGUUCUACUGGAUUCACCCGUUAGCUUUUUCAGUUUAUGCAUGGAUGGGUAAUUUAUUGAUUUUCUAUCUAUAUUAGUCCAAUGUCCAUCAUGCCACUCCACCGUGCUCCAUUUGUCUUGUUCCCUAAAUUUUUUUCUAUCCUGCACUAAUCAUAGAAAAUACAUUUUUUGGCAUAAGGUUAUUAGGUUUUUACAUAUAUUCAUAGCACGCCUUCCUUAAUUUUUUCCCACUUCCCUCAUUUUUUGGUGACCGCAUUUAAAUACUUCAAUCUCACCAUUAAUUAUCAUGAUUAAUUCGUUAUUUUUAGGACCAAUGUUUAGCUACUUCUUAGAUUAAAUCGAGCUUGAAAUUAAGUCUAUAGGUACAUGCCAAGGUUGAGUCGAGUCUGAGUCAUAAUCGGAUGUUGAUUAUGAAUUGAGCUACUAUAUAGCUGAUAAUGUCAAGCAAAUUGAAAAAUGUUGUUAGAGGAGAAGUUAACAACAGUAAUCACCCCGUUGAGGGUGAGAGUAGAGUGAGAAUCGAGAUAUGUGAUAUUGAUCAGGCCGGUGCUUGAAACAUAAAUAGAGUUAAUAAAUGUCACCAUGAGGGUCGAGGUGAUGAGGAUUUACUUCGCGCUAUAGCGAAACUUUUCUAAAGAGUAGCGACAGUUUCCCAACAAGUUGCACUAGUAGCUACAGUUUGGCGAGUCCUGAUAAAAAUAGUUGCGAAAGUAUGAAGCAACUGAUUUCUAAAGGCUGAAUGUGUUGACCCUUCAUUAGCUAAAAUUUGGUUGGAUUCAACCGAACGAGUUCUCCAAUAAUUAUAAUGCUCACCACUUGUGUGUCAAGCGUGUGGUAUCUCUUCUAAAAGGAUAGGCAUAUUAGUGGUGGCUAACUGUCACCCGUCAUGUGCUUGCGAAUUCGGUUUCUUAGAUAUUAUGUCAGACCUAAGAAAAAUACUAAGUCACGAAACUAUCCAUGCUAGUUUUUAGUACUGGUUAUCCUGCUAAAGACGUCAGUCUUCCAAACUAUGAACUUUGUGGAAGAAGCCACAAGGGAGAGUGCUAGAAAAAAAACUAACCUAUGUUGGCCAUUACCAGUCCCUGGAACAUUUGACUAGUGAGUGCCAGAGAAAUGUUACUAAUGUUCAUGAUGUUUCUGCGACUACUCAGAAAUCUGCACAUUUAGUUAGAGGCCAAGGAAAAAGCCGUGGGGAACAGUCAGAGAAAGGAAGUUGUUCUUCAAUCCAGCAGUCUGAAGUUAGAGUUUUUGCACAAGCCUAUGCGAUCUAAACCAGGAAAGAGGAUAAUGUUAUGGAUCUUAUAGCAAGAAAAUUGAAAUCGAAGUUGUCAAGUAUAACAACAUUUGUUCCAAGUCCUUUAAAAUAAAAUGUACUAGUUGAUCAAGUGUACAAGCGAUGCAUAUUAGAAAUCCAACACAAAUCAUUCCUAGGUAAUUUGUUAAUCAUGUCGUUUGAUGAUUUUGAUGUAACUAUAGGAAUGGACUAGUUGACCGAGCACUGUCUGAUUUUGCAUUAUUGUAAAAAGAAAGUUUUUCGUGCAAAUCCUUAAGGUGAAAUUAUUGAAGUCAAAGGCAUAAGAUUGAGUAAAUCAAACAUGGAUAAAAGCUAAAUGAGUAAGAUCCGUACAAUAUGUGAGUUCCCAAAAGUGUAUCCAAAAGAAUUACCCGGAGUGCCUCCUGAUAGUGAGGUUGAUACAAGAUCUUCUAGAUUGCAUCUUUAUAUGUUUUGGUAUAUUGUCCUAGAGGGCUUCAGUAUUGUCAUUAAGAAGAAAUAUCGGUCAAUGUGGCUCUGCAUUAAUUUUUUAUUGUUGAUUAAGCUGGCAAUCAAGAACUGAUGUUCGUUACUGCAUAUUGAUGAUUUGUUUAAACGAAUGAAAAGUGCAUUUGUCUUGUAACAACCCAUUUUUCAGUGGUGAUGGAAUAGUGGUUUUGGGACCACAAGUUUCCGUUGUGUCAGCUUACAAAUAUUAUUUAUAGAAUGUUUCCAGAGUCAUUAGGGUCGUAUUAAAAUUUGGUUAAGAGAUUUUAACAUUUAGAUAGUUAAUUUAAGAAGAAGGACUAAAUUAUAAAUGGUGCAAAACUUAGUAAUUAUUGCAUUUAAAUGAUUAAAUAGCUUAAUAAUCAAAUAAGGAAGAAUCUAAGUGGUAAUUUAGCCUUAGUUAAUAUGUAAGACGACAUUAUGGAUGAAAAUUAUAAAAUAAUAUAAGAUUUAAUGGCAAAAUGGUAAAUAUUAUAAAAUUAAAACAAAAUUAAAUGAAGUAAAAGACAUUUUCUUCUUCAUUUUCACUUCAUCUUGCUGAAAACACCAUGGAAGCCUAGUUUGGAGGUUCAGUUAGUUCAUCUCUUGCAUGAGUAAGUUUUUUAGCCCCAUUUUUAAUGAAUUUUUUGUUUUUAAGAUCGUUGUAACUAAGUCUAGCUAGCCUGAACCUUUGUUUUUGAAUAUGUUAAGAAUUUUUGAAGUUUCCAUUAAUGAAUCUUGAAUGUUUUUAAUGAUAAAUAUGUGUUUAAAGCUUUGAUGAUGGUAGUUGGUUGUUUUGUGAAGUGAUUUUUGUUAGAUUUUGACUAAAGGAUUAAAUUGUUAAAAUGUCAAAAUUUCAAGGUUUGAUGGUGAAUUUAAUCUUUAAUAGGGACUUUUUAGGGCCUAGAAUAUUCGGCUGUAAUUUGAUUCCUAGAAAAUGGUCAAUUUGAUAAUUUUCGAGUUAAGGGACUAAAUUGCAAAAGUUGUGAAAGUUAGGGGAAAUUGUGUAAAUUUGAAUAAUAAAAGGGUAUAAACUAUAAAUUAAAUUUGAAAAUGAAAUUUAAGCUAAUAAUUGAUAAUUUUAUAUUUUUGAUCAAGAUCCUGUUGAUUUACGUGAAAAAGGAAAAUAGCGAAAUAAUCCCUGAUCUUCAACAACUAUUACAACUUAGUCCAAGUAAGUUCGUACGGUUUAUCAUUUGAUAUCUAUACAAAAUGUUUGAUGAUAUAAUAUGAUAUAAUAUAUAAAUUAUUUUAUUGUUGAUGUAAAGUUAUUUGAGAAUUAUUUUUGAAAUUCAAUACUUUGAUCGAAUGAACGAGAGAUAGAGUACAAUUGAAUGAUGGCGUGUUAUGUGGGGAUUAGAAUGGAGAUUAAUGUGGAGUGAUAUAUUUAUUUUUCUCCAGUAGGCUAAGGUUCAGCAUUUUUUGUGAACUCUCAUAUUAUACUUCCUGUUUUGUUGUGCUUUCGGUUGGACUAGUUCUUCGGAGCAAUUGGCGUGUUAUCUGGUGGAUUAAUGUGCUUGUAUCUGUAGUCGUUCAUCAAAUCAUAAAUUAUUUUAUUACACUUAAAUAAUGACUUUGAAUGUCAUGACAUGUAAUUGAUAUCUAAACUUGAUUAUAUUGUGGAUAUAUAUAUUAUUCUCAGAGAACUUUGGUUAAGUUUUGAAUUGAAUUAUACAAUUCACCGGGUUGAGAUUUUGGAUGAUAAGAAACAUUGUAGUUGACAUAUUAUUGGUUGAAAUGUUGUUUUUACUUUGGUAAGGUUUAUUGAUUCUAUAUAUCGAAUUUACUAAGCUUCAAUAAGUUUACUGGUGUUAUUUUAUAUUCCUGUAGAUACUUUUUAGGGUUGGACAGUUGGAUCAGCACUUAAGCCACACUAUUCAUCCAUUUUCGAUAGUUUUUGGAUCGUUAUUUUGGAUUAUAUGGCAUGUAAUAGGCUUGUGGUCAUUGCUAUUAUUUUGAUAUGUAUAACUUUAAAGUAUGGCCCUAAAUGCAAGUAGUUAACUUAUUAUGAUAUAUGUAAACUAAGGAAGAUAUUUUUAGUCCAAGUUUAUGGUAUGUGUUACUGGAAUGUUGUGAUUGAGGUGCCUAUGAUAGGCAUAUUGGUUCGAUGUUAAAUUGUGUGAAUUGACAUGCUUUAGGUGAUAGUUCAUAUUUUUGUAUAAUUGUAUAUACUUGUGGUACCAAUGAGGGAACAUUGGUUAGGCACUUAGGAUAGUUGAUUUAGCAUGUGUUAAACUUUUUUAAUGUCAUUUUGAAUGGGUCUUAUGGCUGGUAAAUGGAUUACUUAGGGUCUAAGUAAGCUUAAAAUGGUAAACCUGUUACUUAAGGUUCAUUUAGGUACACACGGCCUGAGACACGCCCUUGUCACUUGGCAAUAUGCCACACACGGUCUGAGGCACGACUGUGUGUUUUAUCUCAGUGUGUUACACGACCUGCGAUACGGUAAUGUGUCACAAGUCAGAGAGUUAUACAAUCUGGCACAUGACCUGCGACACGACCGUGUGGUCUAACUCAGUCAGUUACACGGGCAGGGACACAGGCUGAGACACAGCUGUGUGUCCCUAUUUCGAAAGUUACACAGUCUGAGGCAUUCCACCCGGCCUAGCCACAUGGCCGUGUGUCCCUUAUUUUGAAAUUUUUCAUAUUUUUCUUAAAAUUUCUGUUUUGCUUCAAAUUGAUCCCAAAUUGCCUCAAAGCUAUUUUUAGGGCCUCGAAGGCUUGAUUUAGGGACGAUAUGCUAAUGUUUGAUAUGUUUUAAAUGUAUUUUAUUUAAUUAAUAUUUAUUGAUAAAUGUUUCUUUAUUUUACAGAAAAUUUCCAUAACCCCUAAUCCGGCGAUGGAGACUGGUUAGGGGUGUUACAAGUCUUCUCUAAGACUGAUUUGAGAUCUAGAUAUUGUUAAUUAAAGGUGGAAAAUAAUUAUGUAACUUGGUUUGGUCGUUGGACCCAAGCUAUAAGAUGUUACAAUAGUUAAUAACAUUUACCAUACAUGAAUUCAUCUUAAAUAUCAAGUUAAAACAACGAGCAUUCAAGAACAUCAUUCUGUUGUGAUUUACAACCAAAAUCGAGCCUUAAUCGAGCUUACAAAGCUUUUAAACUAACUUUGGAACAAAUCAAGAUCAAUUUGAAACUUUUACAAAAGAUAUGUAAAAAAAAGUAAAACAAAGGUCACAUGUGCCGUGUGGACAGGCCGUGUGACAGGCUGAGGUCGUAUGAAGUCAAGUGACAUGGUUGUGUUUCCAGACCAUGUAACAAACUACUGUUGUAUAAUCCUGGGUCACACGGCCUUGUCGUUAGGCUGUGUAAUAGAUUGUGGCCAUGUGGAUCACCGUGCACCUAAAUUAAAUAGACCAUGUGGUCAUACCCUAUGCCCGUGUAUGGCACACAACCGUGUGGCAAACCGUGUGUGCCUAAAAUACCUUCCAAAACAAGCAAUCACAUCCUAGGUUCACUUAAGCCACAAGUCAUUCAAAAUUCAAACUUUUUAACCUGCCAAAAUAUACCAAAUAACAUCGAUACUAAGUGCCUAACCAGUAUGUCACAAUUGGCACCUCAAUUCAACCAUUAAUCAUCAAACAUUUAUGACACUCAUGCCAUAAUGUUCAUACCUGAACAUUCACAUACAAUUACCAUUUCAAUUUCUAAAAUAAGAUCAAGCAAAUUUUACAAAGACCUAAAACAUAAAUACCAAUUCACCAAGUAAAAGGCAUUAUAGGUACCAAAACAUGUAUAUAUCAACAUAAGCCACAAUCAAUCAAGGCAACCAUCAUGUUUAUAUCCAAAACACAUAAUUUACUUUCAAGAUGGCACAAAUCAUUCUUAAACUACUGAUAAUAAUAUAUUUCCAUUAACAUAUUUACAUGCCACUUAUAAUCAGGCCAAAAUGAGUAAAAUUCUACCAAAAAAGUUGACGGAUAAUGUGAUCCCCAAAUUCGAUCAAAUCGAAAGCACGAAUCCAAUAAUCUACAAUGAUGAAAAUGAAACAAGGUAAGCUUACGUAAAGCUUAGUAAGUUCAUAUAGUUUAAACACAACAUACCUAUCAUUUAAAAUCAUAUUAAUUGAAAUUAACAAAAAAAAACUUAGUAUUCCUUGCCACGUUACAUAUUCCUUACCAUACCAAAAUGGUUAGUCAUGAGCAUAUAGCAUCCUUAAAACAUAUAGAAAACAUAAUACUGACCACCUCUGGACAUACUAACGUCUAGAGUGUAAAUCCUGCAACCAAAUAUUAUUGUUAGGCAAUUUUCGCAAGUAUAUGGGUUAGAUUUUAAUAUAGAAUUAUACAACAAAGUAUUGGAGUACUCCGAGAAUCAUACCCAAGGUAGGCAAAACUAAACUAAUUUUAACUUAUAUGUUCACGGAUCUAAUUAGUAAUUUAAUUAAUUUAUUUUACGAUAAACCCUAAGGUGAUGAAAAAUUAUAUUGUAUGAGAAUAAUUAAAGUGCAUAAAAAUAAAGACGAAAAACUAACUUGUAAACUUGAUCAAUUCUGAGAACAGAAGACUAACUCACUUCGAUGAUCAUAACUAACUCCUAUUUUGGGUUCUAUUCAAUCAACUAGUCAUUAACCUAGUAGGAUCUCCCGAUCUUCUACUAAACUAAUGAUUCAAUAAGAACUACUUAUCUCUCAAUCUCACAGUCCAGAUCAGAUUGGUUUAAGGUGUUAAUGGAUAGACAAUACCAAUUUUGGGUUCAUUCCCACCUAGAGUCACCUAGGGUUGUUAGGCCUAGUGGUUUUAACUUCUUCUUAUCCCAACCAGCUGAUAUGUUAAAAUACCCUACAUAGAAGUUAAUUACUCCCACAUCCACUCUUUAAUCUCCCAUAAAAGGAUUAGUUCCUUAUGGAUCUAAUAAAAAUUAUAUACUUGAUUGAAACGAUAACCAUAAAUAAUAAAUCAAUAAUAAAGUUUAAGAAGAAUCUUGAUAUGUAUUGAUAAUUGCGAGAACAAAAAUCCACAAAGAGUUGACGAAUCCACAAAUCAAGUCUCAUGACAAAUGAAAAUAAAAGCUAGAAUAAAAUUACAAAUGAAAAUAACCUAAGUAGAAAAUAAACUAGAAAGAAACUGAAAAUAAAACUAAAUGAAAGCCCUAACCUAGAACUUGAAUAAAAAUUGAUUAUGAAGUGCUCAAAGAUGUCUAUUUGUAGGCUUAGGGUUCAUCAUCGUCCAUUGACCUCUGGUUUGUGUCACGACAUUGAUAGCAGAUUACAAGCUCAGGCUAGAUUGUAGGGACGUGUCACGACACCUUCUAUCUAUGUCGUGACAUUGAAGGCAGUUUGCUCCUUUUAAGUGCUCUGCUCAUUAUGUUGCGACAUCGACACUCUGUACUACAACACUGUGGCCAUUUCGUGCUCCUAUGCCUCUGAAUGAUGUCCUACACACUCAUCGAUUGCGUUAGACUUCCUUUAGGCUUAUUUUGGCUCUUAAGGUCAUAUAAAUAGUUCAAAUCACAAUUUUUUAUCAUUUAUGAAAUGAAAAUGAAUACUAAGUAAAUAUAAUGAAAUUGUUUUUAUACAAGCUCCUUAAGUACGAAGAAUGGUUUAAUCUACUACAACAAAUUGUGGCUGAUCAAAAACACAGGUUGUAACCACCCUAACCCGGCUCGAAGAGAUCACAUUAAUCACUGAAGUGAUCCUGUCUUUCUUUUUUCAAAUCCAUUCUCAAUUCUAAACUUGUUUUAAUAUAAUGAAUAUCUCAUAUUAAUCAAUUAAAAACUAACAUUAAUUUAGCAGCGCAAAUAAAUCAAUAAUCUUUGUAUAAUAAAUUAACCUAUUUAAAACACUUAAUAAAUAAACAAUAUUCUAAAACCAUUAUCAGUGAGUAAUAUUAAGUAUAAAUCAUUCCAUCUAUAUAAAUAACUAUUAAUAACAUGCAUCGUAAUUGAUGUAAUUAAAAAUAAUUGCUCAUACCAGGGUUUUUAAUAAAAUAAAAUGAUAAUCGUAAUAAUAAAUAAUAAUAAAUAAUUGGCGAGAACAAGCCGAGACCUUCUGCAUGUCGAGUCCGCAUCCGAAUCCAUUGAGUUAUCAAAAAAUACAGAAAAUAAGAGGAGUGAUCUAUGAAAGCUUCGUGGUAGUCCCUUUACAAUAAAUCAAAUCAAUAUUUGAAUAUGCAUGUUAAUCAUAAUAAUCAAAUCUAUACAAGAAUUCAGUUUUGUCACUUGAGAUAAGCAAAACAUUAAUAGUCAGUUAAAGUUAAUUGACCAAAUCAACUAUGGAGUCAUAAUAUCAUUCAUAUUAGAUAUAUGCACCUUCAUUAGUUUAGUCGUUUCAUAAUGUACUUUUUAAUAGGUACGCAUAAUAUGUCAUGCAACACUCAUUUUGACAUUUCAUUUAGCAUUCGUUAAUCCUACCCCCAGCCAUUAGCACUCCAAAUCCCUCUACCCUUGUCGCUCCAUGUCGUGGACUUAAUACCACUACAUUUAUUGGGUGGAGAUAAAAGAUGUCGUUUGGCUGAGAAUCCACAAUUGCUCACAGAUAAAAGCUGUUAGAGGGAUCGUGGCCACCUAGUAAAAUAAAAUUACAGUUUGAAUCUGUCAUUCUUUGGGUACACAACAAGAUCGUCACAGUUGGAAUCUUUUAUGGCUGUGAAUACACAGCGAACUUGCAUUUAUUCAGUUAAUAUGAACUAUCGUUCUUCCACCUUUCAUAUCCUUCCCCCCCAUUCAUAUGCAACAUAAUUAGAUCUUUUCAAUUCGUUCAUUCAAUAAUUCUUUCAACAUUCUAUCUCAUUGAAAAAUAGGGACAAAGAACAAAUCAAUCAUUAAAGCAUGCAAAACAUUUAUUCGGCAUGAAAAACAUUAGUACACAUCUAUAAUCAUUCACAAAUUUAAAUAAUCAAUCAUAAGCAAUUAUAUCACAUUAGUAACCAUACAAUGAUUUAUGGAUUUAUGUCAUCAUUGAUAAUGAAUUAAAUUAUAAAUUCGUUCUGUCAUGCAUUUACUCAUUCUACUUCUAGUUCAGGACCUAAUUGUAAAAUCUAGUUUUCCAGAUGCCAUUAAAAACCUAAUUAGGGACUGAAUUGCAUAAAAUAAUUAAAGAUAAAACAAAUCUAAAAUUUUUCAGUUUCAAGGGCCACACGGCCGUGUGAUCAAACCAUGUGUGAAGCUCCAAGCCAUUUGCGAUGCAAUGACACGAGAGGAUACCGAGGGACAUGGCCGUGUGUGAUGUAACGACACAAGGGGAUACCGAGAGACAUGGUCGUGUGAUCCACAGAGGCUGGCCAAAAGCCUGUGUGGUCGACCGUUUCAAUUGGGCAGCUUCAAAUUUUGACACGAUUUUUCAUAAAAAGACACAUACCUGAUUUUUUUCGGGGUCUUAGGUAGUUACCCUUCACUCAAGCUCGAUCCAAUCUCCUAAAAGGGUUUUUCAAUUGACAAAACACAAGAAUCAAUGACGGAUUUACAAGAUUUGAGAGGGGUUUUGGAAAAAAACGUUAAAUAUUGAUAGCAGAUUGAAAUAUUUAAUGAAAACAACAAAAUUCCAAAAUUGACGAGUUCUAAUAAAUCGAAACAAGAAUUUUUAGCAAAAUUUUGAUGAAAAUACGAGACGUAAUUGACGAAAAAUCAACCGGUAGAGAAACGAGUUGAAAUCGGAAAUAGAUUAUGGUUUGGGAACAAAAAUAAUUAUCAACAAUGGAGAGAAAAUAUUUUCGAAGGAAAAGAUAAAGAAGAAAAAGAAAAUAAAUAAAAAUAAGGAAGAUAAAUUCUAUUAGGAUUUGAAAAUGAGUAAUUUAAAUUCUAGUUAAGAUAAGAAGAAGAUAAAAAAAAUAUGGAUUUCUAUUUUUAAGGAUAAGAGAUGAAGUUUUGUUGGGAUUGGAUUGGGGUGAAUUUCUAAGCUUUACAAACUCUUGAGGUGUCCUUAUAAUUUUUCCAAAGUUGAGGGUUUUACUACAAUUUUGCCAAAGUUAGGGCACCACCUACAAUUUCCCCACUUUUGCCGAAUUUAAAAGAAAAGGGAAAAGGGAAAUAUGAUUUAAACCCAAAUGCUUAAGAGUGCCAACGCCUUACCACUCAACCAAAGCCCAUUAAGUUUUUGCACUAAAUUAUACCUAUUGCUUAUUGCUAGAGGCUUUUGAAUUUUCAAAUUAAAAUUUAAAUAAAUGGAAAGAGUGAAAUUUGAACCAGAGUGAAAUUUGAACCUAUGCUCUCUAAUGAUGGAAAUUAACACUUAACCUUUAAAUCUAAAGUUUAUUUCUUAUUUAUUUUCGUCACUUAAUUAUAUAUAUUAAUUUUUGCUUCCAUUUACUUUUUUUUAUUACCUUACAUAUUUACCUAAUUUUUCUUUAACUUAUUUAGCCUAUAGUUUUUAAUACUCUCAUAUUUUAGUUUAUUUACAAUAAUUAAUGCUCAUAGUCAAGACUCACUAUUAAUAUUUUCAUUCAAUUUUACUGUGUCUUUCCAUUUAGGUCCAAACUCAAUCAAAACACUCUAUUUUCCAAUUACACUUUCUAAUCAAGUUUUGUUUUAGAUUAAUACAAUAACAUCUAAAUAUUCUAAACCCCUAAAACUUCUAGGUGUUACACAUGCCAUUCGCAUUCAAUCAAUGAAUAACAUUUCAUGCCAUAAGAUCCAAUUUCCAUUCAUUUCACUAACUUGUUUUGGGGGAACUUUAGUAAAUUAACUUUGGAUACACAGGAUAACUUUACUCACACAAGUUGACAAUUGGGACAUUAAUCGUUACUCGAUACUGUUCAGAAAGCUGUCGAGAAUAAGCAACAAAUGUUAGAUUCUAGCCAUCGGUAUGGUAUCCACCACCGGUACAUAGUACCUGAUAAAUAUAACAUUGGCACAGAGUGCCUGAUAAUUGUAACAUCGGUACAAAGUAUCUGAUAAAUCUAACCAUUGACACAUAGUGCCUAAUAAACACUAAUGACAUGUCAUUUGUAUCCUAAUCAUUCAUUAAGCUCCCCCGGGAAUUAACUCAAUUCCCACACUCUUUCAAUCUUUAUAACAUUAUACCAUGUUCAACUUGAUCAUAUGCAUUCCAUAUAAUAGUACAAUUCAUUCCAAACAUGUAUAAUAGCCAUACUUUACAAUUUAGUCCCUUAAUUCCAUUUCAAUGCUUAUCUCAAUUCACCAUAACAACAUUUACAUAUAUAUACACGUACAUAAUUCAAAUUGAAAUAAUUAUUCAAUAGAAUAAACCUAAUAUGAAGUUACCUAAACGAGAAAAUUACAAAUACCACAUCGAGGACAACUCAACAAUUUUCUCGUUUCCGCAAUUAUCAACUGGUUGGUCUGUUUCCUGAUCUAUAUAAUAAUUUAACUCAAUUCAUCAUUUCAAAUACCGUAAAAUAUAUACCUGCAUUUGAACAUUUAAUAAAAUUUUACAUUAUUACCCUAAACUUUUAUCUAUUAUUCAAUUUUGUCCCUAAAAUUGAAACUUCAAUAUUUAUCACAAAUAAGCCCAACACAUGUUAGCCAGAUUCAUCCUCAUUCAUUUGCAGCCCAUAAUUGAUGAAAAUUUACAAGAAUUUCAUUCAAAAUUCAUUAUUAUUUUAGUCCCUAAACUUAAAACUAACUAAAUUCACUAUACAAAAUAGUCCUAAUUCAACACCAAGCUUCAAAAUCAACCAUUAACAUUAAAAAAGCUUUAAGAAUAACGAUGGUAAAUUUUCAAAUCUUUAAAAAUUUUACAAAAUAGUCCCUACACUAGCUAGAUUAAGCUACAACGAUCUCAAAAACAUAAAAUUUACAAGAAACGAGCUUAAAAUCAACUCACUAACAAUUGUCGAAUAUCAAUGGAUGUUUGAAGCUUUCAUUUUCUUAUCUAAUGGAGGCUUUUCGGUGGUAAAAAAGAAAUGAAGAAUAUAAUAAUGUUUCUUUCUUUUCUUUUAUUUUUAUUACUUAGUUUUUAUAUUAUUUAAUAUAACUUAACAUAAAUUAAGCACAUGAAAAAAUGACUAAUCAUCCAUAACGGUCCAUUAUGGUCUAAUUUUCUUUUAAAACCCUCAAAACAUACUUUUAUACGCAAUAGCAAUUGACUUUUGAAUUAUUUAUGAUUUAGUCCUUUUGUUAAUUAACUAGUCAAACAUUAAAAUUAUCUAACCAAACCUUGUAAAUAUUAUUUAAAUAAUAUUAUUAACUCACUGGUCAGAAUUGUGGCCCUAAAACUACCCUUUUUGGUACCACUGAAAAAUGAGUUGUUACAAAUGUCGUGCUAAAAAUAGAGUCUCGUACGUGAUCUAGACACUAUGAAAAUUCAAGCAAUGCCAAUUGAGCAGUUGAAUGCUCUUGCAGCUUUCAUGGGUCUCAUGAAUCACAUUUUCCAGCCAUAUUGCGAUCAGCAUGUAAUGGUGUUCAUUGAUGAUAUAUUUAUUUAGAAGAAGAGUAUGAAAAGCACCUGAGAAUUGUUUUAUUAUUUUUGCAUGAAAAGAAACUAUAUAGAAAGCUCAUCAAAUGUGAAUCUUGAUUAUUACAAGAGAUUAGUAAGUGGAUUCUCCAAAAAAGCUUUGCUCAAAACAAAGCUUCUACAAAAGAAUAUGUUAUUUGUAUGGAUGAUCUUUGCCAAGAAAACUUCGAAAAGUUGAAGGCCAUGUUGACAAAAGCACUCAUUUUGACCUUUCUCGAAUCAAGGAAGGAAUAUUUUGUGUUCAAUGAUGCGUCACUCAAUGUUUUGGAAUGUUUUCUAGUGUAGGAUGGUAAAUUAAUUAUGUAAGCAUCCUGGUAGUUAAAUCACAUAAAUGCAAUUAUCCAACGCACAAUUUAGAGCUAGUUGUUGUGGUUUUUGCUCUAAAGAUCUAGAAGAACCAUCUAUUCGAUGAAAAAUGCUAUAUUUCUUCGAAUCGUAAAGUCUCAAAUAUCCCUUAUCCUAAAAGGGGUUAGAUCUGAGACGUCACUAGAUUGAAUUGUUAAAAAACUAUGAUGGUAUAAUUGAUUGUCAACCAGGAAAUCAGAUGUAGUGACUGAUUCUUUGAGUCAAAAGUCAGUUUUUAAGUUGAGAGGAAUGUCUUCUUAGAUGUGAUGAUGGCAACUUGUUAGUUGAAUUGAAAAUAAACCAAUUUUUGAUUAGUCAGAAGGAAAAUGCGUAAUCCAUAAGUAUUAAGCUGACAAAGGAAAGUAAACUUUCUUAGACAAGAGAUAAUAAAAAAUACAGUAUCAAUGUGAACAAUUUUCUUUGAUUGCGUAAUUGAAUCUAUGUAUCUUUCAAAGCUGAAAUGAAAAAAAAUAAUUUUGUGCAAAACUCACGAUGGUUCUUUUGUUAUGCAUCCUAGUGGUGUAGAAAUGUAUCAUGAUUUGUGUGAAUUAUUUUUUGUGGAAAGGUAUGGAAAGAGAAGUCAUCAAGUAUGUUGCUAAAUACUUCACUUGCCAACAAGCAAAGGUUGAACAUCAAGUUCCCACUGGGUUGCUUCCCCCUAUUUUGAUUCUCGAGUGGAUAUGGGAACAUUAUUUGCCACUAAUCAAAUUUGUCUAUAAUAAUAAUUUCUAAUCGAGCAUUCAAAUGGCUAUGUAUGAAACUUUCUAUGGUCGACAGUAUAAAACACCUUUAUGUUGGUCAGAGUUGAGUGAGAGAAAGAUGAUUGAGCCAAACUUGAUGCAGGAAGUGGAAAAUAUGGUAGAGCUAAUAUGAGGCAGAUUGAAAGCGGCCAAAAAUGGGCAAAAAUUUUAUGUUGAUCUGAAAUGGAAAGAUAUAGGUUAUGCUUUGGGUGAUAAAGUAUUAUUGAAAAUCUCUCCAUGGAAAAAGAUCUUGUGCUUUGGUCGCAAAGAAAAGCUAAGUCCCAGGAAUAUUAAGCCAUAUGAGAGCAUUGAUAGAAUUGGACCGAUUGUUUACGGUUUAACCCGGCCAUCAGGGUUGCAAAAGAUCAUGAUGUGUUUCAUGUAUCUAUACUCCAACGAUAUCGAUCCAAUCCUUCCCAUUUUAUAUCGAAAGAAGCAAUUGAAAUUCAAUAUGACCGAUAACAUGAAAACGAACUGGUAUAGAUAUUAACUUGAUAAGUAAAAGAGUUGAGAAAUAAGUCCAUGCAAUUACUGUAAGGCUCACAAUUUAAUUAUAGUGCAAAAGAAGCUAGUUGGGAACUGAAAUAGUCAAUGAGGUCCCAAUAUCUUGAGGGAGAAUUUUGAGGUAAAUAUUGAGAAUGAAAUUUCUUAAGGGAGAGAAUUGUAACAACUCGAAAUUUAAUUGUACCGGAAAGUGUGAUUUUGAAACCCCAUUUCCAUAAAUCGUGUAUGUAAAUAUAAAAUAAAAAUAUUUACAAAGUUAUUAUAAAAAUAUAUUGAAAUUUGGCAAAAUAAUUUAGCCAAAAAAGUAUUUAAGGCUUAGGAACUAAAUCGUAAAAGUUCAAUUGCUAGAGAGUUUUAAUUGAAAAAAGGCUUGAAGACCUAAAUGGCUAAUAAAACAUUGAUUGCAUUUAGUGGGUGGAUGAUUGUGAUCAUGCUGACUUAGUUACUAUUAACAAUUAAAAUAAUAUAAUAAAAACCUUAAUUUAAUUAACUAAUGUUAGUUAAAGGUUAAAUAUAUAUAAUGUUAGUCGAAAGAAAAUUUAUUUUCCAUCAUUUUCUUCCACCAUUUGAGAAAAGAAAAGAGAAAAGAUAAAAAAACACCAAGGAAGAUUGCAUUCAACCAAGCUAAUAAUUAAGGUAAUUUAAACAUUUUUCUUGUAAUUUUUAUAGAUUUAUGGUUAUGGGAGCUUGAUUUAGCUAGCUCAUGUAUCAAUUUGAUCAAUUUUUAAAGUUUUAGCAAGUUACCAAGGAAGAUUGCAUUCAACCAAGCUAAUAAUUAAGGUAAUUUAAACAUUUGUCUUGUAAUUUUUAUAGAUUUAUGGUUAUGGGAGCUUGAUUUAGCUAGCUCAUGUAUCAAUUUGAUCAAUUUUUAAAGUUUUAGCAAGUUGCCAUUAUUUGUUUAAUUGAUGGUUUAGACUUGAAUUUCAUAGAUAUUGAGUCUAAAUUGUAAAAAUGACUGAAUUAUAAAGUUAAUUAAGCUUUAAGGACCAAAUUUUGUAACACCCCUUUACUCGAUCCGACCGUCGGGUCCGAGUUACAAGAUGUCAAAUUUGUUGCCAGAGCAACUUUUGCCAAAUACAUAGAAAAAAAAUCAUUGCAAUUUUCAUCAUUCAGGCAAAACAAUAGUUUUAAAAACAUUACACAUCAUAAGCAACCAUUUUUUAGGUCUUAUACUGUUGGGAAAUGUGCCAUAUUGUAGUAAACAUGUAAUUACUUUCUAUUUAUUUGAACAAUGAAUAAAUAAAUAAAGUUAAUUUCACAUUUCACUAUUAUGUCUUUUGUAUUUCUGUCUUUUAUAUUUUGCAUGCAUAGCGAAAUUUUAACAAGCAAAUAUUAGUUCAUUGAUUGUCCAAGUUCAAACUGAAGAUAAGUGGCAUUGUAAGAACGUUUACAUUACAAGAAAGACAACUUACUUUAGUAAAUAAUUUAAAUAAGUUUGUAAUCUCGUAAAAGAAUCGAAGUGAGCAUUUGAUUCAAAUACUGAGAAGGAUUAUUAUGUUAUCUACAAUUCCAAUUUGGGAGGUGGCUAGUCUUGGUUAUGGGAGCAGUUGACUCCACGGGUUGAGACAUAAAUGUACUCAUUGGUAGAAUGAUACAUUGGACUGAACCCAAGAUGGAUUAAUUUUGAAUCCAUUUGUGAAUUAAUUCACUUGUGAUGUUUAUGGUGUGAUUUACCUAAAUCCUGAGUUAGUCACUAACCAUGCGUAUGCAACUCAUUUACUUUGAUAUAAGUGGAAGCUUAUGCUCUACAGAUGAUCGAGCCCUUAACCGGUAUGUUGGCUAUAUGACUUGUGAAUGGCAUGGAUUUACUAGCAAUAGUGGAAUUCAUAGCACAAUUAAAGAGUUAAUGAUCUCUUCUCAUUAGUAUUGUGUGGAUUGAUAAAUAUGGAACGUGGCCACAGUUUCCUCGUUAUCGAACGAGCAAUUUAUCACUGUCAUUUGUUGACAGUGAUCAUAGUAAUCAUUAAGAUGACACAAUGGUGACAAUGAGAUAAAAUAGGAUUGAAUUGAGUAAACGAAUUUAACUCAAACGAAUCAAGGAUAUCAUAUGAAGGUAACACACACAUGACAAGGCCAUUGGACAAAGUACUUGGAUGAAUGGAUUUCGUAAAGAGUAUACAAUAAGGAGUUUUCAAUCAUGGUACUUCUUGCGGACUGACUCCAUGAUUAAGAAAUUACAAAUUAUCGAAAUGAUGCUUCUAGACAUAAUUGCAAUUACUAGAGCCUAAUUGUAUAUGUCCGAUUGGUCCCUCCGGUAGCUCAACAAAAGCUCGAUUGUACUACAUUUGAAUUUGAAGAAAAUUCUACGACUUUGAAAAUAAUUUAAUUAAGUUUAUUUAUUCAAUGUGAAAUUAAAUUAGGUUGUCGUGAGAAUUAUUCAACUAGAGAAUUUGAUUAAAUAAUUUUCUUAAAAAAUUAAUUUUGAUUAAGUAAAAUUAAAUUAAUCAAAUUAAUUAAAAUUAAUAUAAUAUUUUUGGAAAUUAAUUUUCAAGUCAGACAAUUGACCCAAUGGGUAAUUGAACUUGAAAAUUAGACCAGAGGUCGUGAAUUGGGUCCGGGAGCCCAAAACUGAGACUAAGACCCAAAAACUGAUCGAGUAGAGCCCGGUAUGUGAAACAGUUCUGAUGGUCUAACGGUGGCUAGACCGCAUCGGUCGGGUCGUAAUUGACCCAGAUCAAAAUGGCAGUAGCCAAACCGACUCGGGAUGCAGUAAGGGUGUCGCACCUGCAUCAUCGGACACGGCAAUGCUGGUGACUGUGACGGUGGCGUCCCAGUGUUCGGCGAUCGUUGGUCUUCGGUGGUUAAGUCGUGGAAGAGUUACACUCCUACAAGUACUCUACCAAAGAAUUUGAUUUCAGAUUGACUAUUCCAAAAAUAAUAUUAUUUUAAUAGUUUAAUAUUAAAUCUAAUUUAAUACUUAUCUUAAUAAUAUUUUAUUAAUUUAAUAUUAAAUUGAUUAUCUUAAUCUUAAAUUUAAUUUAAUGUUUAUCUUGUAGAUAAACAUUCUAUUAUUUUAAUCAGAUUUAAUAUUACAUUAAAUCUAUAUUAAUUUAAUAUUAAAAUGAUUAAGUUUAAUUAUAGUUAAACUCUCUAAACUCUCCCUAUAUAAAGAGAGUCUUGGGUCAUUAUUUUAUACACACUUAAAUUAAAGAGAAAGUUGCAGAGAAAAAAUUCUCUGAAGUGAUUAUUUCAAAAAAUUUCUAGAGAUAGUUUUCUAAUUUACAACUUGACCCAAAAGUUUAGAGAAAUCGCGAAAUUACCCUAUUGGUAAUUUUUGUGAAAAAUUUUCUAAUUCGAAACAAGCCUACAGUCGAUUGACGUGAGCUUGAGGAUAGUAGAAAAGACUAUUUUUAUUUCAAUUUAUCAUAUUAGGAUUUAGGUAAAUUCUAUUUUAUUUAGUUAUUCCAUUUUAUUUCAAUUUUUGAGAAAAGUUAGGAAAAUCCUAAAAAUAACUCCUAUAUUUCCUUCAUUCUCUCUCUCACGUCAAAAUUUUCCCCAAUUUCAUUGUUCUACAUUUUCUUUAGUUGUUGCUUUCCUUUUUGCCAUUUUUUUCUCUUUUUUGUUCUCAAUUCACCUUUUUUCUUGGGUUCUUUUCCUUUGUUCGCCAUUGGUAGACAUUAAUUGUAGUAGUUUUGUGUUGCUUCAAUUGUCUCAACAACAUUAUCGUCAAUUUUCGGUUCUUCUUUCAACCUUGUGUCGUACCGGGUGAGUGUAAGUACUGUUCUUUUUAGUUUUACAUUGGAUUCUUAGAUUUGUUUAUGCAAGAUUUUAAUUGAAAUUCAUAUAGGUUGUUUAUAUUUGUAAAAUUGAGUUUUCAGAUCUGUUUAUUACGGAAUAUCGAUUGAUUUUUUUAGUACUUUGGAAACAUAUUUUCAGGUGUAUUUCUUGAACACUCAUACUUAGGGAUGCUUUUUGUGGUUUAAUUUAAUGUUUUGCUAUAAGGUUUGGUGUGGUUUUCAAGCCACGCGGGCGAUCCACUUAGCCGUAUGCCACUUAAGAAAUUAGGUAAGCUAUCUUGUCACAUGGCCUGGGUGGGUCAUACUGGCUGGCCACACGACCGUGUGACCUCUAUUUGGGGAUUUUGUUUAUCAUACGCGAGCAUGUGUCUCAACGACACGGCUGUGUAUCACUGUCACAUGGGCGUGCCAUUCAGCCACACGAUCGUGUCUUCUCUAUUUCUAAAAUUGCAAAAUUUUGUCACACAGGUACAAUGAGUUAAACGGUCUGACCACAUGGCCGUGUACCCCUGUCACAGGGGCAUGUCUUACAGCCACACAGCCGUGUCUUUCAAUCACACAGAUGUGUCCCUCUGCCACACGGCUGUAUAUAUUGUCACCGGGUUUGGACCCUACCACACGACCGUGUGGCCUUAGUUUUGCUAUUUUACCUCUUUAAUGUUAAAUGAUUUGUUUAAGUCCUUAAGAGUCCAUUUGCAUGUUUAAGCCUUUGUAGGUAAGUUUUGGAUCAUGAAUAUUGUUUGAUAAGGUCUCUGAAUGACGUAUUAUUGUUAGAAUGUUUAUAUAUAUGUAUCUGUGUUCAUAUGAUUAAAUUUUAGGAAUUUGCAUAAAUAGUGUAUGUUGUGGUAUCUUAAUCUGGUAUAUGAAAAUGGUUAAAUAUGAUAAUGGGAAAGGUUAAAUUGUUAUAUCUGCUACUUUAUAAUCGAAUACUAGUUUGUCAAAUUCUGAUUCUGCUAAUCUGAACCGUUUAUUUAUGUGAUUAUUGGUUAUGAAAUUUGAAGAUGAGCAUGUCUGAUUCUGUAAAUCUGUAUGCAUAAUGCUUGUAUUGCAUUGUGGUUGGGAUAUGAAUAUGAAGAGAAGGAAGUUAGAUUUGGUAGUUAAAUUGCACUACUAUUAUAUUAUAGUGGUAAAAUCGCAUUCAUGUUAGCAGUUUGACAGCAUAACGAACAUGUGGCAUAUGACUACUUUAUAGUGUGAUUUGGUUGGAUGGGUCCACAAUAACCCAAAAAUUGGUGUGUAGAGGUUGGAAAGAGUCUAGUAGACCCUUAUUUGGUGUGUAACAGAUAAUUGAAGAUGGUGUGUAGAGGCUGGUUAGAUGGGGUUUGAUGACAUUUUGCAUUUGAAUAUGAUUUGCAUAUCUGUUUAAAGAUAAUUUAAAUCGAUGUGUUAAAUUCGAUGUGAUAUUUGAAUAUGGUUAUAUCUAACUUCUGUAUGUGGGUUCAAUUAAUUGUCACUGAAUUGUUUGAUUAUUUUGAUACUAUUUAGCUAAGUAUGCUUAAGACUCACAUUGAGCUUUCGUAGCACACCCUUAGUUUCUCUUUUUCAGGUAACCCUUAAGAUCACCCCAAACCUGGCCUAGACGCUCUGGGAGAAUCUGGAAUGUUACGAAGAAAAGUUAAGAAUUCGAUUUUAUAAUACUAAAACCUCGUAUAAUUUAUUAAUAAAAGAGUUCACAUUUUAGAAAAACAUAUUAUUAUGCUCAUUAAUGAAUCCAUUAAUUGUUUGCUCUUUCAAGUAAAGCAAUAAUUUGCAGCGGAAGUUUAAAAGUCGUAACAUUUUCAAAACUGAGUUUAUGUUCGCAAAAACAUUUGUUUCCGUAAAAUCGUUGUUUUCGUAAAUUACUUUGUUGAGCGUCGCAAGAAACUUAAAUCAAAUCCAAAACCAACAACAAACCAAAAAGUCUAGAGAGUCUCAUAUUUACAAAACUCUCAAAAUAAACCAGAAAUUUAAAUAAACUUUAUAAAUAAACAAAAUUUACGGACGUGUGAAAACCUUUGAGGAUUACCUGAACAGAGCAGACAAACAAAAAUUGAGUUUUAAAAACUUAGUGUGUAACUCAACGGAAACAUUUAAAUACUCAGAUUUUUUGCAUAACAGAAUAGAUACAGACAUAAAUCCUUAAUAGAAUCAGAUAACAACAGAAUCAUACAGAUAUGUAAGGUCCUACCCCGAUCCUCUACACACCAACUCCGACCAUCCCAACACACCACGUGGGGUAUAAAAAACCCACCCAGCCCUACACACUACAUAGUGUCCGUACGACACUUAUUAGAAUAAUCGCAGUCAUGCUGCCAGAAUAAUGGUGACAUAUCGCCUAUCAGAAUACUUCGUCCACAUAAACACAUCCCACCCCAAACACAGAUAUAGAUAUACAAAAUAACAGAUAAUAUACAUGCUUAUACAUAACAGACAUAAUACACGCAUAUGCGUGACAGAGCAGAUCAUACAUAUCAUGUCUCAUUAAUCUCGUACAAACCUUAUUUAAGCCAUUUUCAGUCUAACAGAAUAACAAGUUCCAUGCUUAAGGGUUUCCCUAUGGAAGGCCCACAGUCGAUCAGAACGACGUGUGCGACCCUAGGAAAAAAUUCUAAAAUUUGGGCCCAAAUGCCCGUGUGGCCCAUACACCCAAAUUGGCCCUGCCCGCGUGUCACACAUGGCCUACCACACGUCCGAGCACACACUCGUGUGGCGUCAAUAGGCUAGAUUUUCAACUUUCACCAAUCGUCAUUUUCUCGUGUUUUCGUUACACACCUGGUUCAUUUUUUAUGUGAAAGCAAUUUCAAUACCUCCGAAACCUAAAAACAGCAGUUAAUACUCAUCAAAUCAAUACCAAUCCAUAAUAUUCAAUCACCAAAAACAACUCAAAUGACUUACACAACACUUCCAAAAGAACAUCCAUAUACUUACCUCUUAAGAACAACCACCACAAGAGUUCUAUGCCACUGGAGGCGCCCCAACCACGUCUUGUACUUCUCCUAAGCAACACAUUCACAAAGCUUCAAUUCUUUAAUUACACCUAAUACGUCAUAUCAAAAGGUCUAAUUCCAAUCGGGUUUACAGAAGUCAAAAGCUAAAGUUAAGAAAAACUCUACUUACCAAACUGAACGAGAAAAAUCAGAAAUUCGAAACACCACAAUUGAACAAAAGACUUGUGACAAAAUUAAAAAAGUGAAGAAAGGAAAUUUUGUUAGAUAACAAAGAAAGAAAACGUCAAAUGGGAGGAAUUUUGGGAAAGAGAGAGAAUGAGAAAAUCAAAUAAAAUAAAACACUAUCCCACUCCCCCACUAACCAACCACAAUCCUAUAAAAUCUAACCCACUAACCUCAUCCAACUACCACAGACUUUCUAUCCAACCGAACUUCUACUACACAAACCGGCACACACUCAUAGAAGCAAAAAUAACAUCCUUCACGCACAUAGGGGUUUGAACACAAGACCCUAAGGCAAGCUAACACCUUACCACUUGAACCAACAGGCUUAUUCUAAUAUGAGUUUACCGAAUAUAACAUAAGUCCACCCAAAAGGGAUGAUGCUAGGAUAAAAAAAAAUAAUAGAAUUUCCAACAAUGGGGCUUGAACCCAAGACCUCAAACAUACAAUCAGAACACUUAGCCACUAAAGCAAAUACAUAUUUAUGGUAGAAUUUAAAAAAAUAUUUUUUAAGUAAUUCAGGGCGUUACAAGUUGGAUUCGACAAAUUGGACGUCUCAGAAUUUCUCAAUUUGGUUUGGUUUUUAAUAAAGUUUUUCGUAAAUUUUGAUAAGUUGAUCUCGUCCAGACUAUAAAUAAAUCUUAGUGGAUUGUGGUAUAAGUUUUGUUUGAACUUUGGACAUUCGUAAAAACUCUAUAAUUUUGGUUUGACUUAUUUUGCAAAUUACAUGCAUGAUUAUAAGUUUCAAGAUUGAAACUUUUCCUUUGCAAUUCGUUAGGUUUUAACAAUAAGUUUAUGAUUUUCAAUCAAGAUAAACAAAUAUUUUGUUAUGUUACAAAUUUUGAACUAAAGUUUUAGUUAAUGGUUUUUCAACUUCCUUUUUGUUGCAAACAUGUUUAAUUCAUUAAAUGCGAAUUUGGUUCCAAGUAAGUUUUCAAGCGAAAAAUAAGUUCAACAUUUGCAAAACAUUUUGGUAAAGUUCGUUUUAUUUUUUAGUAAGUUGCGAGUAAAAAUGUUUUUUGAAACGAACUUUAUUAUGUAAAUCAUUAUUUUAUUUUGGGCCAUUUCCGUGGCUAAUGUGACAUCUGAAAUCCGGUCGAAACUCCUGAGCUAGGAUUUUGAUUAAGUGUUUAUUACUUUAGAUAUCACAACCAACUUUGUUGAGUCUGAGAUUCUAUCUGGAUGAUGAAGUCGAUGCUCGGGAUUUCGUAUUUAACCUAAACUGCACACAAAAAAUAAAACCAUAUGCUGAGUAAUAAACUCAGUGGCAUUUCUAUAAUUCAAAAGGUAACAACUUAAUAUAAAAACAUGACAAUAAGUAUAUGGACUCAAUUUGUAAUUUAUAUAAGUUCAUAUAUAUAUAUUUAUAUAGAUAAGUAUGAAUGUCCCAUUAGGAAAGCCAAAUUUUUUUUAUCAUUUCAACAUUAUUAUUUUGUACCAUAUUUGUAUACUUACACUUAUCAAAUUAUAUAUCACAAUUCAUAUAAAAUCUACCUUAGGGCCAAAUCGCAUUUAUAUUCUCCUAAUAGCCUAGCUUGGAUUUUAAAGAUGAAUACUGAGAUUAAGCAAUUAGGAUUUAAAAUUGGCACCAUAGUGCAUUACUGGAUAAACCGAAGCAAUCAUGUUGGAACGUAAGUGCAUCAUCGAAUAUACCAAAAUGUACAGUUAAUAGAAUAAAAAAUUUCCAAUGUCAACCUUAGAAUUUCAACUUAAUAAUCGUUAAUAACUCACAUUAGAUCCUAAAUAUGUUUAUAGAUUUAUUCACUUGUGACGUUCUUAGUGUGACUCGUACACUUCGAUGUAAGUAAAAGUCUGAAUUCGAAUAGAUAGGGAACCGAAAGCUAUUGCGUUGGGUGUACGACUUCUGCAGUAUGUAGUGUCAUUGACAAUAAUGGAAUUCAUAGUAUGAGGCAUGGGUAAAUGAUAUCCUCUCAUUGUUAUUACAUGGUUGAUGAAAAGUAAACAUGGCCACAGGUCGUUGGUCUUUGUGAUGAAUGAUUUGAUUACUAUUUGAUAGUAAUUGACUUUUCAUGAAUGAAGAUGUAAUGGUUACCAUGAGAUAAAAUAGGAUCAUAUUGGGAGAAUGGAUAUUAUCUCAAAAAGAUUAAAGAUAUCCUAUAAGGGUAACACACUUAUAAUAAGGUCAUUAGAUGAGCACUGAUCGAGUUUCUUUCAUAAUGGUAUGUUGUUGGGGAGAGCUCAGUCACGAUACUAUAGUGGAAUGACUUCGUGAAUAAAUAAGUUUAUAAUUAAUAGGUGAAAAGCUAGAACUUAAUAAUAAAUCAUUUGAGCCUCAAUUGCAUAUGUUUAAUUGGUCCCUCCGCUAGCUCGUUGAAACCAGAAAUGAAUUGCAUGUUGAAUCAAAUGAACAAAAUUGAAUUGAAAUGGUGAAAUGGUGAAAUGGGAAAAUAGGAAACAUUUGGAAAUGAUUAUAGUUUUCUCCAAAAUGAAAAUGAAAAUGGAGAAAUGGAGUCAUUUCAAAAUUAUUAUAGUUUUCUUCAAAAUGAAAAUGAAAAUGAAAAUGACCUGAAAAAUGAAUUUAUGUUUUUCGAAUUAAAUGAAAUUCAAAAAAAUAGAAAUAAAUCAUUUGGUCAUAAUGAAUCAUUGAAUAAGGAAAUAUUAGAUAUAUUUUCUCGUAGAUUCUUUUACAGUAAAGUUAUCAUGAUUUUAACGGAAUUAGAAUUGGGUUGAGAAAAUUAUUUAAUUGGAAAUAUAUUGAAGUUUAUUUUGAGAAAUAGAAAAAAUAUUAGGUUGGAUCAAAUUAUAAAGUAUUAAGUUAAAAGCUCAUAAAGUACUUAUAAAUGGACCCGAUAUGGAAGAAGCCCAAAAACCUCUUAUGUUAUAAAGUGGGACGACAAACCCUAGUAUUAUUAACUAGGGUUGUCACCCCCUAUAUCCUAGUUAGACUAGGAGUUCAUUUUUCUAGUUGAAAUAAACUUUUACAAUUCAACAAGGGUUCUACCUUCCUUCCCUAUAAAUAGAUGGAACUAGUAGGGUUAUUUGCACAACUUUCAAAUAUAGUUAUUUUUCCCAAAAAUAGAAAAACUUUUAUUCUAUUAGAAUUAAAUAUAUUUUUUGGAAUAAUGAUUCUGGCGGUUUCUAUUUGAGAAGAGAAUUUUUUUUUCAUCCAAAAAAAAAAGAAAACUAUUUCUAGUUCUGUAUUUGAUUCGAAUUGUUCGAGCCCACACUUGAAAGAGCUCGUGGUAUGAAAAUAGCGGACGAGACUGUUUGGUUGAAAGUCGGGAACGACAAGGAUCCGUCUAUCCGAAAACAUAAAUGAGAUUUUGGUCUAGGGUUUAUUGCUAUAAAUAUCACAAACAGAGCCGAUUUUCAAAAUUUUAUUUUUAGCUGUGCGAGAAAAUCAUUUUCGAACUGGAUUUUUUCCAACAAUAAUUGUGUCGAAUAGUGAGACCGAGAGUAGAGCUUAAGUGGUAUCUUUUAGUCUAGGGUGAGACUGAGAGAAAAUUUCUAGCUAAGAGUGGCAACCAAUGUAAUCGGUAUAGGUUUGUUAGCUUAGUUAGCGAUUAACGAAUCAUUCGACCAUCAUUUUAAUCAUUUAUAUUGUCCAAAACAAUAGAAAGAAAGUUUAGCUUAAUCUGUUUAAUUGAUAAUUUAAAUUUAGUUUAUAAACCAUUUAUGUUUGAAUUUGCACUAAUAAUUUCAGACUCAAUUAGAUUAGUAAUUGCUUAGCUCGUAAUUAAUUUGACAAACACAUUUACCAAUUUGACAAUCCAUUGGGUUCAAUACUUGAAAUUUUUAAUAUGUUUCAUUGUAACACAUAUAAAUAUUACAAUUGACCUACUGCUAGAUAUUUAAAUUUAUUUGUGUUGGUUCAUAGCUUUGAUACACGCACAUGGAAGCGCAAUCAGGAACCAUGACCGUUCCUUGAUAAAGCUCCAUGUUUGUAUUGAAGUAAUAUAAAUUAAAGGAAAUGAAAGCAAGUUUCUCUUGUCUGGUGGUCUGUUUUUUUUUUUUUAAUUAUUUAAGGAAAAGCUUAGAGAAUUGAGUAGUCAUUGUUUUCGUUCAAAAUGUAAAAUUUUUAAUUACCCCAAGCCAGGGGAAAAAUUAGGGAAAGGGAAGUAAAUAGAUUUUUAAAAUGUAAAAUAUCAUUUUUAUCCUCCUUAAUUUUUACAUAAUUAUAUUAUAAAAAUUUAUGAUUGUAAAAAUCACUAUAUUUGAUUAUUUCAUUUUCUUUCCACAGUUUAUCCUAACAAAAAUGGUUAAAUUUACUUUCAUUUCAUUUUCCUUAUUAAUUUUAACAAUCAAAACAAAAACAAUCUUUUCCUCAACCUUCUUUUCUUUUACAAUCAUUAAUCCAAACUUAGGGUGCGUUUGGUUCGCUGUAUUGGAUUAGAGGUGUAAUAGCUAAUCCACUGUUUGGUUGAAUAUAAUGGAAUAGAGGCGUAAUAGUAAUCUUGUGUUUGGUUGAAUGGAAUAGAGGUGUAAUAGCAUAAUGGAAAAAACUAAAAUGACUAGAAUACCCUUAGCGUAAAAUUGUUUUGGUAAAUGAUUAUUGUUAUUGUUAUUUAAAUUUUAAUAAGAUUAUUAUUAUCAGUAAUAAAUAUUUUAAUCAUAUUUAAACAUAAUUAUAAUUAAAUAUAUUUUAAUUAAAAUAUAUAAUUUAAUAAAAUUCUUAUAAUUAGCAGAAAAUUGUUUUGGUAAAUGAUUACUGUUAAUGUUAUUUAAAUUUUAAUAAGAUUAUUAUUAUCAGUAAUAAUAUUUUAAUCAUAUUUAAACAUAAUUAUAAUUAAAUUAUAUUUUAAUUAAAAUAUAUAAUUUAAUAAAAUUCUUAUAAUUAGCAGAAAAUUGUUUUGGUAAAUGAUUAUUGUUAAUGUUAUUUAAAUUUUAAUAAGAUUAUUAUUAUUAGUAAUAAAUAUUUUAAUCAUAUUUAAACAUAAGUAUUAUUAAUAUAUUUUAAUUAAAAUAUAUAAUUUAAUAAAAUUUCUUAUAAUUAGCAGAAAUUUGUUAUUGUUAUUUAAAUUUUAAUAAGAUUAUUAAUAUCAAUAAUAAAUAAUUUAAUCAUAUUUAAACAAAAUUAUUAUUAAAUACAUUAUAAUUUUGGUAUAUAAUUUAAUAAAAUUCUUAAUAAUUCAUAUUCUUAAAUGAAUUUACUCAAAUCAUAAUAUAUGAUACUAAAUGAAAAUUUGAAAUAAUUAAUAUUAAAUAUAUUUUAAUUAAAAUAUAUGAUUUAAUACAAUUUAAAAUAAUUAUUAUUAAAUAUAAUUUCAUAAAAUGUUCUUAUGAAUUUACUAAAAUCAAAAUAUAACUUGAGAAUUAUUUUCUGCAUAAACAUAAUUAACUUAUACUAAGAAAAAGUUAGAUGAAAAUGAAAUUGUACAUCAUAAUCCAUAUGUUAUAUAGUUUUACAACAUCAAAAAGUUUGAACAUUGAUAUUUAAUGGUGAGAAAGAAAUCUUCUGACCCAUUCCAAUCGGGCAACAGAAGGUAAACUAAAGAAAACGAUCAUUUGAGUUGGAUGAUCGGGAAUUUUACUCAAAGCAUCAUACCGCUGAUCGUCGGUCAAACCUUCAAUUGACCAUAAGGCUGAAUAUAAAUUUGAAGCUUUCUCUUCCAUCUUUUCCUCUAACUUCUGCUGAACUACCACCUCGGAGGCCAUAGUCCUACUGAUUUGAUCGCCAACGGCCUGGAUUUUUUCCCCCAACAAAGUGGCAGCCUCCUCAAAUGAAGAAUACACAUUAUCACGAGCAUCAGAUUUCUUCUUUCUCUUAUUUGAAGAUGAGGAACCCCCUUGGUCUCUAUCUCCACGCAGAUCUGUACCAGAAACAUCCAUGUCGUCUAAAGAGACGUCAGCUUCGCAGUCAUAGAAUGUGUUUCUCUCUUCAUUCAUAUCUAUAGUACGUUCAUCCUCAGCAUGUAUUUCUUCAAGAACAUCAGCAGCUGUUUGAGCGUCUUUCCCAGUCGCCCGAUCUCUUGCGUAUAUCGCAGUAAGCUGGUUGUAGUAAGGGAAAGAACGAUGUCUGAACUGAGAGGCUUCUUUGUGACUCUAAAAAAAUGAGGAAAUCAUAUUAGUUAUAAGUUUUGUAAAAAAACAAAUAAAUACUUGAAAUACAUUUUACCUUUACAUAGGAUUCCCAAACUGCAUCUUCAGCAACAACGAGCUGCCUAUGCUCGUCCCAACCAAAACCACUGUUUUUUUGGCCAUUAAGCAUGUCGUAGAUGACUGACCAUUCCCUUUUUAAGCACCUAAUCCGAGAUUCAAUAUUUGGUUUCGCCUUCAACAUUGCUCUUGGUAAAGCCUUUUCUAGCAUUUUCUCUAGCUCGUUCAAAUAACCGGCUUUGAACCCGGUAUCAGCAUUAAAUGUUCCUACAUUGUGCAAAUCCACCAUGCAAGAAACCAAGGCUGCAUCCUCCUCUGGAACCCAUUUUCUUUUGCUUCCUCGAGAAGCUUGAGAAGAAGUACCCGUUGGUGGAACACCUGACAUAUUGUUCUUAAAAAAAAACAAAUUAACAUUAUUUACUAUUUUGAAUAUCAUUUAAUUGUUGGGUGAACAGUUUAUAAUAUUAUAUCGGUAGUUCAAUACUAAAUUUAAAUUUAUAACACAUGCUUAAUGAAAAGAUAAUUACAUUAUAAUUCAACAAAGUUUCAUAAAGUUCAUAAAGACCACCAAAGUUUCACAAAGUAGAUACAUAAAAAAACAUCAACAAAUCAAUUCAAACUGAAUUUGUCCUUAAACCUAACUAAUUUCUAGAUGCUUGCCAUUCAUCGAACAUUUGGUUGGCUAGUUCCAUCCUCCAAGUUGCCCAAGCAUCUGAUGAAUGAAUAUUUGUGAUAUUCGGUUCAUCGUCAUCCACCACAUUAGUAGGUAAUCCUUCUCCCACCUCCGCUUCAAUGGGAUCAAUACUCAUAUGAGUUCAAAUAAAAUUAUGGAGCAAACAACAUGCAAUAAUAAUUCUAUUGUGCACCCUUACAGGAUAAAACGAUGGACUCUUAAGUAUUCCCCAUCUAAGUUUUAAUAAGCCAAAGCAUCUUUCAAUAACAUUACGUGCUGAGGCAUGUUUCAUAUUAAAAAACUCUUGCGGAGAACUUGGCUGAUAACCCUGACGCCACUCGUUCAGAUGAUAUCGCUGUCCUCUAAAUGGUGCAAGAAAUUCCUCACAAUUUGUGUAUCCAGCAUCAACUAGAUAAUAACAACCUAUAAAAUAAAUUGACUAAAAAAUGAUUAAUUCAGCAAACAAAUUUUGAUCUUAAUGAAUAAUUCAAAUUCCUCUAAGUAUACACUGUACCAUGAGGAACUUUUAGUCCAUGUCUUCUACUGAUGGCAUCUCGGAGCACCCGUCCAUCGGCAACUGAACCUUCCCAACCAGGAAGAACAUAAACAAAUUGCAUCUCAGGUGUACAAACACCUAGCAUAUUUGUUGCUAUGUCACCUUUUCGGGUUUGAUAUCUAGGUUUAUCAGCUGUUGGCACCCUAAUCUUGAUGUGGGUUCCAUCAAGAGCACCUAAGCAAUUCUAUAUCACAUGAUAUAAAACCUUGAGUUAGAAUACUAAUUUAAAUCUAAGUCAACUAAAUGUUGUACAAGUUAUAUAUAAAACUCAGUCUAAUACCUUAAACCAUUUCCACCUUGUGUCAGAAGAAUCGGCUGUAAUUGACUCCGGCUUUUUAAAUAAGACAUCUUGUAAGCCUAUGAUGGCAUUUAAAACACUAUGAAAUGCUCUGCUUACAGUUUCCCCGGACCUUCUAAAGUGAUGCUUGAUAACUCGAUUUUUCAGGUGAUGGGAGAUGAUAUGUAAAAACAUUGCUAGUUGCUCAUCAACAAGCAUGUUUCUUGACGACUUCAAUCCCCCUAUCGAUUCUAACAUCUCACAUAGUUUGAAAAAGGCAGAUCUAUUCAUCCUAACUUGUUCAAUACAGGUCUCGUCACUAGCAUAUACAAGCCUUUUCACAUAAUCCCGUUUUGCAUAAAAAUCUAAGGUAUAGGACAUAAUCCUUGGUCUAUAAGUAUGUAGGCUAAGGCUGGCACCCAUUCUAAAUAAGAACCAAAUCGCAAUUCUACAGAUUUCCAACCAUAUUGUCACAGCAAUACCAAUUCUUUUACGCCUCACACUUUGUGCAAUUAAAGGCAGACGAGCCAUAACCGCAACAUAUUAAAAUUGAAACUCAGUAUCAAUCCCCUGAAGUUGCAAUUACACAUUAUCAAAAAAGUAGAAUCUUUAUCGAUAUAUUUAUAAAUUAUAAAAUUUUUUCGGUUAUAGCAAUUUGCAUAAAUUUUUCGUCUUCAGAAUUAAAAUUUGUAGGUAUAUGUAUAAUUGAACUAAAAUAAGUUGUUGGUAUUUGUUAGAUUAUAACUAAACUCAUUAUGAUUUAAUAAAUUAUAAAGCAUGUUCAAAUUUGUAGCUUUUGCUUUUGAGUUCAAAAAUUAUAAUAUAAAUUUAAGAAGUAAUACUAUACUAGGCUUAAUAAUUAUAGAUAAAAAAUUUUUAUCAAAUUUAAGGAAAAUUGCUCCUAAGGUAAUUAAAUUGUUAAUAUAUUUACCUAAUGUCUCUCAACAUUUCUAAAAACUUAAAAAGAGAAACUGUAAAAUUAGACCUUCAAAUUAGUUAACUAACUAUUAAAUAAACAUUAUAAAUAACACUUUAAAAUUUAUUUUUUAAACUUUAGAGAUGCAAAAUUAUUAAAAUAAAUCUCGUAUAAGAUAUCUUUUUCAAUUAAUAAAAUAGCUAAUUCUUUCAAUUUUUGUUGAGAUAUUGUUAAUGUUCAGUAAGAUUUUAUCAAUUUUAAUUUUGAGAACAUUUUCUCCGUUGAUGCAACAAAAACAUGAGUAAUUAACAUUAUACGCAUUUGAAAAGGAAUAAACUCUUUAUGAAUAAUUAUGUCUAUUUUAGUGUCAUUUUAUAAUUUGAUAAUUUCUUUGAAAACCAUAUUAUAAUCAAUUCGAAUUAAAUAAGAAAUUUGAAUAUUAUUAUCAAGUAUAAAAAUUUGCGUUAGCAUUUUAAUCGGUUAAAGUAACAGUACAAAUAUUGAUGUACCAAAUCUUAUUAGAAAUUAACAUAUGAAGAUUUAAUCUUAACUUUGGACAAAUUAUAACCAUCAAAAUUGAAACUUGAUUGUUUAUACAUAAUUUACAGCAUUUACAGCAUUUCAUUUCAUUUUAAAUUUGGACAUUAUAUAACCUUCGAAAUCGAAAUUGAAACUUGAUUGUUUAUACAUAAUUAACCCUUAAUCGAAUAUCUACCUCUACAUCAAGUAACCCAUUUACAGCAUUUCAUUUCAAAAUCUAAAUAACAGAGCUAUAUCCUACCAUACUUGCAAUUAAUUAUCCCCAAAACAAGCCGGAACCAGAACAUAUCACAACUCUUUCAAACAACAGCAGAGUAUCACAAAACUGUCUGAAUUUAAAUGGCAAUUCACAAGUCUGGAUCAGUCAUUAAGCUAACUUAGAAAACAAAGCUGUAAUUGCUCACUGCCUCAAGUCUGCAGUUAAGCUUAUUAACUUUGAUUGCAACCAAAAUGAACCUAAUGGUUCUGUACUACUACCUAUGAAAUAAUAAACAUAGCUUUAAUAAUUAAUAUAACAUACUUGCAUGCCUUAAAAGUAUUUGGAUUACAUAACAAAGGAAAAGAAACAACAUCUCUUCCAUGUAUCAGAUGUAAAAUAUAUAUCAAACCCAACACCAUUCCACCUAAGCUAAGCAAACUGGAACCAAAUCUAGCCAAAACACCAGAGCAUUACUAACAACAAAAUAUAAACAGACCAAACAGACUAAGACACAAGAACAACUAAAAUUACGCAAAUAAUAUUUGUUUGGAAUUUGAGCAGAUUAAGAUUGCCAAACAACAACUAAACAAUCAUAAAGCUCAUUAGCAUGCCAAAGAACAAAAACAAAAGAUCGAAACCAGUUAAGAAGGAAUAGCAAGGGAGAGCAGAUUCGUCCCCUCAAGUUUCUCCUCACAAAUCGCAGAGGAGUUUUACUUGGGGAGGAUAUCUUCAAUUGUUUGGGGAUUAGAAGUAGUAAUGGGGGGCGUAAAUAUAGUUUUGAGUUCCAAACAGACCAAGACGCAACAAAAAACAAAGAAUUUGAAAAAAAAGGAAAACUAACCUGUAACCAGGGAAAUCGGGGAACUCAAAACGAUGUACAACAACCUGUAAUGAGAAAAGGGAAAUCGGGUGAAUGCAAAUCGGUGAAGAGUGAAAAGAGUGAAUGCAAACCUCUGGAAAACUUACCCGCUGACAGCAAAUCGGGGAAGAGUGCGAUGAAGAAGGUGUCUGAAACGAGAAAAGGGAAAUCGAUUUGGGUUAGUGAACAGUGAAAAUAAAACAGCAAAUCGGUUCCUCCUUCUUGAUAAAAUGAAGAAAAUCAAAGAAACCCUAAACUUAAAUCAAUGACGGACUGCUGGGAAGGGCAAAAAAUAUUACCUGUGCAAGGAGGCGUCGGAGAAUCAGAAGGUUGAGGACGAGGGCAAAAAACGAAAUAGGAAAAUGGGAAAACACCGAUUAGGCAAUCGGGGAUGAGGGGCCGUAUUACCUAAUACGCGCAAUAAAGGCUUUAGGGGGGUAACCGAUUACACAUGGAUUGGGGUAACAGCGAACCAAAUGCCCGUUUACCUGUGGGCCCGCUGCAUAGGGGGGGAAUACGCAUGCAAUCCCCCCAACCAAACGCGUUAGUGUAGCAAAUAUUUUUUUGGUCUAGAAAUAUUUUUACUGCCAAUUAUAUCAUUGGCUUAAUAGUAAAUUUGUGUGAAUUUUAUGUUGAAUGGCAUGAAGUUUAGAAUUCAGUCCGUAUAUUUGUAAAUCUCUUAUCCUAUGUAGUUACUUGUAUAAAAAAUAUUAUUUAUUUUUAAUUAAUCCCAAUUUUUUAAAUAUGAUAUUAAUUAAAAUUCUAAUUAAAUUAAUGAGACCCAGAUGAGUUUGCCAUUAUUUUUCUUCGCUUUUUGCUAAUGCAACUUUAGUUUCUUAGUAAGUAAAAAUUUAUACCAAUGUAUAAAAAUGUUUAAAUAUCUUAAAAUAUUCUUUAAAAUUUUAAAAUUUAAUUUUUGCGCUUUAAUUUUGAAACAUUAAGUCUCCGUGUUUUUUUGGAUUUAAAAAUUAAUUAGGGGUUAUAGGAAAGGUGAAAUAAAUUUCUUAACUCUCAACAUUUACAGUUGUUUAUCAAUUUGAUCCUUACUCUUUAAAAGUAAAUAAUUUUAAAAAAAUUAUUUUUUCCAUUUUUUAAAUAAAAACAUAAAAUAUUUUGAAAAAUAAACUUAUGAAAAAUAAAAGCUAAUUAAAAAUAAAAAAUAAAAAUCAUUUUAAAUAUAAAAUUAUUCACAAUUUAAUUUUGUCUAAAUCAAACUUGAUUGGCCAAAUGAACUAUUAAUCGACUGGUUGAAUCGGUAGUUGAAUCGAGUUUUAUACUUUUUAAUAUUUUUUAUUUUUAAUAAUUUAUUUGCUUUGAACCAAUUGGAUUGUUCAAACUGAGAAUCGAUUGGUCAAACUGAUUUUAACCACUGGUCUAGUUCAAUAAGCAUUGCCAGAAUUUCAAAAAAAAAUCAAAAAUUUGAGGAGUAAAUAACAUUUCUUUUGAAAUUUUGGUAAUGUUUUUGGAAUUAGAUAAAUGGUCAAACUAGUUAGACCAAUUGAUUCUCAAUUUCAAAUAGUUUAACCAAUUCAAACAGUUUGAUCAGUUCAAAACAAAUAAAUUAUUAAAAAAUUAAAAAUCAAAACUAUUUAUACUAACCAAUGAUAUUGUAAAAAUUGAGGAACCCAAUUAUAUCAAAUUAAAAUAUAAAAAUUAAAUCUUAAAUUUAGGAUAGUAGAGAGACCAUAACCAUAAUUUAACCUAAAAUAAUGUAUGAUAGAAAGUUAAAUAUUCAACACUCUUCAAUUUUUUUAUUGUAAGGAUAUAUAUAUAUAUAUAUUACAUAUUUGAGUAUUAAAUUUAUUGUCUAGUAUUGAUUUAUAGUACAUAUAUGAAUAUAUAUCACUCAAAUUUCUUUGAUCUUAAAUCAAAUAUAUUUUAGAUAUUUGAAUUUGUUAUUGAAAUUUGAGUUAUUUAUAAUAAUAUUUUUUAUUUAUUUGUUCUAUAAAUGGGAUCAUAUAAUUUGGGGGAGAAAAGUAAUCACCACAUGUUGUAGAUAAUGAAUAACAAGUUUUUAUUAACAUAACAAAGACUUCAUCCUUAGCAUCAAUAGAACAUUAUAGUACGCUAACAACUGACACUAACACAACUUAAGCACAACAUAUUUGGAUUGAUUGCAAGCACUUAACAUGAUAAGUAAAUUAGUCCCGAAUGCUUCAUAGUGGCAAACAAAAUUGGGUUAAGAACUAAGCAUCCACCAAACUAGAGAAAACGACGAAAAAUUCGUCCCUAAAAUCAUUUGCAAAAACAAGACUAGUACAUUUUAUAAAUUGAAUAAAAAUAAUAAUAAUGAAUGAAUGAAUGAAUGAAAUUUAUUAAAUCAUUUAAAAGUGAAAAUGCUUUAAAAUUUAAAUUAUAUUUAUAAUUUGAAAAUAAAAAAAUUAUAUUAUUUUUAAUAUAUUUUUUAAUGAAAAUUUAUAAAUUAGUUGAUUAAGAGAGAGUGUGUGUGUGUCUCGCGUUGUUUAUCGUUUCUAGCGGGAUGGUUUAAGGAAUCGGCCCACUAAUCAUUCCAAUCGGACGAAGGCUUCUGCGGUCGCACGCUGUUAUUUUUUAUUAUUACUUUUUUGUUCAUUUCGAAAGAAUCGUACCAUAUAAUGGCCUGAUCAUCAGGUUUAGACGUAGGGCCUAGAACAGUGGCGUAAUAAGCGGGCAUUGCCACCACUUCCUUUGCUUAAAUGAUCUUUCACAUUUUACUUAGCUUUUCUUGUUUGUAAUAUAAUAUACUUUCAUGGCAUUUAUUUUCCCAUCUUUUCAGUAAAUUAAGUCUUGGAUUUUUUUUUCUUUUAAAUUUUUGGAUCAAUUUAUUAUGAAUUUAAAAUUUAUGUCUAACUUAAAUAUAGGAAUAUUUCAAAAAAAUUACUGCCCACAUAGAGUUACAUAAAAUAGAAUCUUAUAUCUAUAACAUCUUUAACUCUAAAGAAAAAAAAAACCUAGCUGAAAAUUAUGGAAUCAAAAGAGUAAAUCCUUAGUAUAGAUUGAAAAAAGAAAUCCAAAAAAUGAAGUUUAGGAUUUUUACUAAUAAGAUUUUUGUAUUUUUUAUUUCAUCAAUUUGCAAUGGCUGGAGAAUCUUCUUCAGGAAAAAUAUGAAGUUUGAAUUUAUUUAAUAUUUAAGAAGAAAACAUAAUUUACUUUUUAUAACAUAAAUAAUGUUUAAUUUACCGGAUUACUCUUAUUUAUUAAAAAUUAAUUUUAACAGUUUCUUUUAUUUUUUCAUUUUUCUUGCAUGUAAUUUGUAAGUGUAUUUAUAUAUUUAAAUCAUGCAUAUUGAAGAGUGAGAGAACAAAUUUCAUUUGAUUUUUGCAUGAAUAGUGUAUUAUAUAUUUGAUGAAAGCCUAAGCUUUAGGCAAUGAUACAUACCCUUACACUUGAAGAAACGAAAAAAAAAAACAUCAAUUCCUAUAGAUUCAAUCUCCCAGAAAAUGGCGUAUCAGAGGGUCAAGAAGCUGUUGGUGACAUGAAUGUUGGAAUAAGAGGCGGGAGUUGAGCAGCCUUUGUUGAUUGAGAUUUUGUAAGAUAGCAUCCACCUUAGUUUUAUCUUCCCUUAACUGCUGUCUCUGGGCACUUGUCUCUUCCCUCUUCAAUGUUAUCUCUUCUCGAAGCUUUUUCAUUUCUGCUCUCAGUCUCUUCGAGAAAAAAAAAAUAAUUGUUAGAAGAUAUGGACAUCACAUAUAUAAUAAGGAUAAUUACAUAUUAUUAUUUACUAUUAUGAUAGGUUAGCCCAAAUUAAAAGUAAUCUAAUUUGAUUAAAAUUUUAUUGGGUUUUAAUUAUUAAAUAAAGUAUGGGUCAAAUAUGUGUAGAUACUCUAAUAAAUGAGUUAUAAUCAAAUUCUAAUUAAUGAUGGGCUAAUUAGGAAUUAGAACUAAUAUGCCAAGGUUAAAAAUAUUAGGGUUAUGGUCCCUAAAUUAUACACAAAAUAUAUUUUCUAAUAUCUCAUCCUUAGGAAAGAAAGAGCAAAUAUUCUCUAAAUUUUUUGUGUGCUAAUUUGGAAGAUCAAAUAUCUAAGAUCCGGAAAAACUUUAAGGAAUUCAUGAAUUCAGGUACGCUUCUGCAUCUAGUUUUGUUCUUGAUUUGUUCUUGAUGAUUUGACAUAAUAGAUACUAGUUUAUUAAGUUUUAUUUUAGAUUUAUUUUAUAAUUCUAACAAGUGGUAUUAGAUCUUCGUCAUGUUGAAUCAUUGAGAAUGAAUUGAUUCUUUAUUAUUUUUGGAUUGAUUCGUUUUUUUUAUUUUAUGAAUUUGGUAUUUUAAUUGUAUAUUAUGUUGAAUCUUUGAUAUUCAUGAUAAAAUUUUUGGGUUUUGAUUCUUUAAAUAAAGUUUUAGGGUUUUAUAAAUAUAAUCUAGUUUAAUACUUGCAUAUGCUAUUCGAAAGAUGAAAGUUUAUUUAUUUAUAAUCAAUUGAUAAAAAUUGAUUUAUGAGAUUUCUUUCUCUUCUUUUCGCACAAUUAUUUUAUAAAUUUUGGUUAAAGUCAUUAUUAGAUUAAAGUUAUAGACUUGCAACUUUUUGCAAUUGAAUAAUUUCAAUUGGAUUGUAUAAUUGGUUUUGAAAGUUAAUUUUCUUGAUAAUCGAAUAAAUGAAUGUUGUUAAGAUGUUUAUUCUUAGCACUAUUUGUUUUAAAUUUUCUAUUUGUAGUUAAAUGUAUAUGGAAUUAUCAUCUUUUGUCUUUAUUCAUGAUGAAUUAUAUUCACCAUUGAAUUCAAUUCAUAUAUACGAAUGAUUACUUUUGGUUUCUGCUAUAAUUAUUUUAUAUAAGUUUUAGUCCUUUCUUUUGUGCUCCUUAAGAACUAAAGAACUAAACAAGUGGAUUUAUUUCUUAUAACAUAAUGAUAAACGUAAUGAUACAUUUCUUGUCUUUUUUUGUCACUCAUUUUUUAUCAGCAUAAUAUUUUUCCUAAUUUUUUUUUCAAUUAUUGCUGGACUCUAGACUAUAUAUAGUUUAGAUAACCUGCGAAAUUUUUCGACAUAUUUGAUUGCAAUCUUGAUAUAGAUAGGCCGCUCCUUCGUCUCAAAAUCUGAAUAGAACAAUAUUUAUUAUUUGAAGCAGUUCUUUCGGGCAGUUAUCAAAAGAGGGCAAUUGCUUCGAAUUUGAUCAAUUGAGAUAUCUGGAAACAAUAACAAUAUCAAUAUAACAAUAAUAUAUAUAUUUCAUUUGAAUUCAAAGUGGAUUCUUAUUUUCUAUAUUCUAUAUUCUUUUUAGAUUCAAUUAGAUUCAAGGGCUAAGCACUGAAUAAAAAAAAAACAGACAAUAGAUUCAUGGGCCCCUACUUUAUAAUAUAAUGAAAGGCAUGCUUGAUAGAAAGAUUAGAUCACAUAAAGUCAACGAAGUUGCAUAUUAUAUUUUUCCCAAAAUGGAUCCUGGAGGAAGAGUGUUGCUAAAUUUAGACCGUCCGAUAUUUCAUAUGGGGUUACAGGUCGAACCAAAACAAAAUACUUUUUCUUGGUAGGUGUGAUCCGUUGGACAUAGAUCAAAUUUUUCAAUUUUUUUGAUUCCUUAGAGUUUGUUUUUCCCGUUCCUGGUGGUAUCAAGAUGCCACUGUGUCGAGAUAUCUUAUCUCUUUCUCCGGGAAAAUAGAUAUUACCCGAAAAAUUUUCAGUUCAAUCAUUUUUUUCUUUCCACUCGAACCAAUCUACCCACUUGGCUUCUUGUAUUUAAAGUGAUUUGGGUAUCUACUCCAAUGAUACUAUUGUUCCGUACCAUUAUGGAAGAAGAUUCAGAUAAAAUAUGCACUUCCUCGGGAAUGAAAAAAAAUCAAUCUACUUUCAUUUAAUAUUUUGGCUUAACCUUUUUGACUCAUCGAUACUCAAUCACAUCCUCCCUUUUGACGAUUGAAUGCGCCCCUAGAGUCCCAUAUUUAGUAAUUCCUGAACUCUUUCUUCUGUCAAGUGGAAGUGCAGUGAUGUAUGCAGCUGAGGCAUCCUAACAAACCGGUAGACUUGAACCUUGUUCCUACAUGACCCGAUCAAUUCGAUCAGGCACUCGCCAUCUAUUUGCAUUGUUCAACUCUUUGACAACACGAAAAAUCCAUUGUUCAACUCUUUGACAACAUGAAAAAACCAAGAGCUCUGCUCUCUCUCUCUAUCUAUCCAUGGGAUGGAAGGGCGGAGGCCUUUGGUGUCCCCUCCAGUCAAGAAUUGGGGCCUCAUAAUCACUAGCCAAUAUGCUUUUCCUUUUCUCGCAUGCCUUUCUUCGUUCAUGGUUCGAUAUUCUGGUGUCCUAGGCGUAGAGGAACAACACCAAUCCAUCCCGAACUUGGUGGUUAAACUCUAAUGCGGUAACGAUACUGUAGGAGAGGUCCUGCGACAAAAUAUCUUGACGUCAAGAUGAUAAAAAGCUUAACACCUCUCAUUUUUAUUAACCCGACUAAAAUUAAAAUAUUUGGGAUUUUUUUUAAUAUGGUGACUAUGAAUUUUCAUAAGUGGUUGCGCAUAUGAAGGCUUUUAUACAAUUUGAGAUUCUUUUUAUAUUUAAUGGUUAUGGAUUUUUUUUAAGUAUUUGUGCGUAUAAAGAAGUUUUAUGAUAAUGUCUUUAGUCAUGAAUAUAAAUUUGGGUUUACAUGAAAUAUGUAAGGCAAGCUAGUAUUAUUUUUUCUAUUAUUAUAAUUGUGUAUAUAUUGUGUCUAUAUAUAUUAUAUGCAUAUCAAUGAUUUUGAGGAUUAAUGCAUGAUUAUAGUUGGCGUGAAUAGGUGUUUAUAACCAUUAUUCAAUAAGAUAUCUUUAAUAGUUUAAUUGGUGAUAUUAAGUUUUGAUGAAUAUCGUUGAAGUUGUUAAUUUUUUUUUUGUUAUGGUUAUAUAUUCAAUUUAAUGGGUGCUUUGGUGCAAGAUGAAUUCAUCUUUCAUGUUUAAUAUUUUGCAUCAUAGUUGCUGUUGAAUUUUACCAAUUGUGCCACCUAUUUUGAUUCCUUUUCUUGGUGCAUAAUUGCUUAUUUUAAAGUUAUUAAUAUUAGUCAAUGAAUUUCAAUUAUCUAUAUUCCAAGACACAUACAUAUUUAAAUAUUUUGGUUUUAAGUUUGGUUCUAUAAUCUUAGUUUGGUUAAAUUAUGAUGAUAUGGUUUAUUGUAUGAAUUAUGAGAUAUGUCAACUAUUAUGAUUUUAUUUUUUUGAGAUUUAUUGGCUUGAAAAUAUUUUUCAAUGAUUCAUGUGAAUAUCAGUUUAAUCAUAAAUAUAACUUUGGAUUUACAUGGUAAAUUCAAUGUAAGUUUUUCUAUUUGAUUAUGAAUACAUGUAUAUGCAUGAAUUGCUUUGGUGUUUUUGUCCAUGCCAAAAUUAUGAAUACAUGUGUUUGUUAAUUAUUUGGCUUUGAACCACUACAUUAUUUAUGUUUGGUUUUGAUAUAUAUGGUUUUGGAACAAAAAAAAACCAAUCAAAGAUUAAGAUUUUCGAUUUUUUAUUGCAUUAUUAAGACAACAUUAUUUUGGGUUAUUUUGAAAUCUAUAAAGCAAUAAAAAAAUAGUUUUAACAUUUGACUAUUGGGUAAUUUUUAAUUUUGAAUAUUGGUAUGUUUAUAUAUAUUUUUAAAUAACUUAAUUGAAGCAAUAAGUCACCAAAGUGAUUUUUUUUGUAUAAAUUAUUUUGUUUUAAAAUAUAAAAUGUUGUGUGCAUGUAACUUAAGUUAUGUUAAUAUUGAUCGGCCUAAAUGAAAGUUAAUGAUAUUACAUGUGCAACUAUGGUAAUAAACAUGUGACAAUUAUUCAGUUUUACAUUUGAGCAAUAAUUUGGCCCUAAGGAAGAUUUAUGGUUCGACAUGUUCUUAUUGUCAAUGUUUGAUUAUUACACUAAUAUAUCACUUACAAGUUAAUAUUUUUUCUAAAGAUGAAAUAUUAAUGGAGUGUCUGAUAUGAUGAGGUUUACCUUUAUUCAAAUUAUUUUGGUUUAAAUUUGAAGUCUUAUGUGAGAUUAUUUAUGGUUUAUGAUUUAUUCAACUAUUAUUAUUGUCGAAACCAUUUUUUUGAAAACAAAAAUUUAGUUAUCGAAUUUUUAAAAAAUAAAACUGGAGUCGCCACCGAUCCGUGAUUUAGGUGUGAUCGGCCCACCUUAAAAAAAAUUUGGUCUACGAGAUUUGAGAAAACGGGUUCGGGAGUCAGUUACGCACGAGGAAGGGUUAGCACCCUCGUAACGCCCAAAAUUGGUACCGAAUUUGAUUAUUUAAUGUCUUGGUGUCGAAAAUUAAAAAGAUUUUGUUAAACUCAAAUGUUGAAAUCUGAAAAGGAUAAUCGAUUAUUCAAGUCAGACGAAGAAUUUGAGACCCAAUACGUUAGGGUACAAUUUCUCAAAAUCCUCGAACUUUGAAUAUCACUUUUGCUUUAUAAGUAAAUCUUCAUUUCGAUGAAGCAAUUAUAUCAUGACCAAUACGUUAGGACAUAACAAAUUAAACUCCCCAAAAAUGAUUUUUACUUAUACAUUUUGAACAACGAAUAUUCUCGGUUAUUUGGGAAUUAACAAAGAAAAUCGGAACACAAUACGUUAGGGCUCAAUUUCCUCGAAAAUCCCUAACUUUGAAUAUCGUUUUUAUUUUAAAAGCCUUUGGAUCAUAAAAACGAUUUUAAUAUUUUGACAAAAUCAAAAUAUAUUUUCUUUAAAAAGUAUAGUAAAAUGCUAAUGUACACAUAAAACCAAUACUUUAAUUUUAAAUUAUAUGUAUAUGUAUUUUCAAAAUAUCAGUAUGAUACAUAAAUAAAUUUUGGAAACAUGUAUAUGCAUAUAUUAAAACAAGUACAUAUAAGUAUACAAAAAUAAAAAAUGAAUGAAAUAUAUAAAACAAAACAAAAUCUUAUUAUAAUUUCUAAGAAAAUAUGUAUGUAUAAAUGAAAAUAAGAUAAAAAUAUAAAAUUAUAUAUAUGUGUAUAUAUUUACAAAGAAAAACAAAAAAAAAUAUAAUAUAUAAAUAAACUACGAAAAUAUAUAUAUGUAUUUGAAAAUAUGUAUGAAUUAUAAAAUGUAAAUGUAUAUAUACAUAUAUAAACUAUAUAUAAAAAACUAAGAAGAUAAUAUAAUAAUAAAAUAUAUAAAAUAUGUACAUGUAUUUUAAAAACAUUUAAAAUAUAUACAUAUAUUUAUUAUAAAAUACAAACAUAUGCGUGUAUAUAUGUAUAAUAAUAAUAAUAAUAAUAAUAAUAAUAAUAGUAAUCCAUAAUAUAAUAACAAAAAUAACAGCAGCUUAAUAACAAUAACAAUAUUAACAAACUAAUAUAUAAUCUAAUUUGUAAAAGCAAAUACAAUGGACUAAAUUUGAAUCAAAACAGAAUUAAAAACACAAAAUCAAAUUAAAGCAGAAGAUGAAUUUGCAAAAUGCGUGCAACAUGGAGGGCCAAAAGGGAAAUUAAUCCCACCCUUCCAAAACGUUGUGCAGCAUGGGAUUAAAAUAGAACAGAUUUAAUAUGUCAUGGAAAAAUUUGAAAACGAUAAAAACAAUGGUUUUGAAAUGAUGAAAAACAUGAAAGGAUUAAAAACGUAAAUAACCCAUCAAUGCUUAAAACCUAUUUCAAAUCCUAAUUAAAAUCUCUAUUCCAUCUGCAACUUCAACAGCCACUUUCAUCUUCUCCUCUGCUUUUCACGCCUAAAUCCCCCCUUCAACUUUGAUUCCGACGAAGCAUAGCAAGGGCAUCGACAGCGCACCAACACUGGUAAGAACCUCUUCUCUUCCCUUCUUUAUACAAGGAAAAAUAAAAAGAAAAACAAAUAAAGAAGCUAGGAAAAAGAAGAACCAAAAUCGUCACCUUCAAAACUGUUUUUUUUAAUCCUGUUGUGUUUCUUCAAUCUAUUAAUACAAUAUUGUUUUUUUUCCAAUCGAUUUUGCAAUCAACUCUUUAUAUCCCAAAACAAUAAUAAAAUAAAUAAUAAAAAUCCAAAAAAUCCCCCUUCACCAAAAACAAUCGGCCCUCUUUAUAGCCGAAUUUUUACAAGUCAAAAUCACAAUCUUUUACAAGUUGUUGUUGUAUAUUCGGUCAUUGCCUGUUCUUGGUUCGUUUGUAGGACGAACGUGCAUGGUGGACGCGAGGGAUCGCUAAACGUGGGUGAUUGUGACGUGGGGCGAUAGGGUCGUUGCUGCAACGUGGGAGCAGCGACGUGGGGGCGAUGGUGGCGCCUGGAGUGUUCGGCUGCUGACUUGCUGCUAACUGUUGGGGUUUCUGCUGUUUGUUUUCUUGGUGUAAUGGGCUUAGGGUUAGGGCCUAGUGUAUUAGGCCAAGGGUAUUUGGGCAAUGUAAUUUUUGGACAAUUUUAUUGUUUUUUUUUAUAUUUAUUUAUGUGGGCCCGGGCCUAAAAUUGGGUAUUACAAUUAUAUUUGCCAACAUCAUUGUAUGUUGUUUUGGGAUAAAUAUAUAUAUACUAUUAUCUUUUAAUUUGAUUGAAAGAUGAAAUUAAAAGAAAUAUUUUGAAACAAAUAAAUUCAGAUUUUGGCUUUAGGUUUUAAUUAAAGAUGUGUAAUAUUUUAAAUAGAUUAGUUGAAACAAAAUGAUGCCAAAGUGACUUCUUUUGUGUAGCUUAAUUUAUUUAAAAUAUCAAGAUGAUUAUAUGUUUUUGUGAUUCAUGCGUUUAUUAAUUAACCCA
rnacentral:lncRNA from 1 species